rnacentral:lncRNA from 1 species
GAGCCAGCUCGCGAGCCUAAAAACGAGCCAGCUCGCGAGCCUUAACGAGCCGAAUACUAUGGAGCUCAAGCUCAGCUCGUUUAAGUGACGAGCCUCAAAAUUGAGCUCGAGCUUGGCUCGUUUAAAAAACGAGCCGAACUCGGUCGAGCUUUUAUCGAGUCGAGUCUCGAGUAGCUCACGAAUAGCUUGGCUCAUUUACAGCCCUAUGUGGGAGUUUUGGUGGCUUGGGGCAUAAUGGCAGAAUCGGGUUCUGCCACCCAGGAGGGCCCAAGUUCGGCAGCCGAAGCAAGGUUCGGCCGCCGAACUUGCCAGAGGAGGCAGUUUUGGCCGCCUAAACUCGCCCCCGAAAGUUGGACUUUCGGAUCUGGAGGGGAGUUUCGGCUGUCGAACCUGCCCCCGAAGGUUAGUGACUUUCGGGUCUGUGAAGGCUUUCGGUCGCCGAACCUACCCCUGAAAGUGCCUGACUUUCGGAUCUGUAGGGACCUUCGGCCGUCGAACCUGUCGCCGAAAGUCCCCUGCCCAGCCUUCCUUUGCCUGUUUUCUAUGCAUGUUUUAUGAUGUUUUAGGGGGUUUUUGGGGAGAUGUUUAGAGUCUUGCUAGAGUUAUGUUUGGUCCCUCAUUUGAGUCCACCUGUGUAGGAUCGGACCUGAGGAACCGAGAUGAUCAGUAGUGAGUUAGCUAUUCCAGAGUCAGCUAGAGGUGAGUAGAACAUAACUUCUUUUAUUUUCAAAGCAAUCAAACUUUUAAGCAUGUUCAUGCAUCAUGAUAUGUAAUAGGUUGUUUGCAUUAGAAUUCACGAAUAUGAUGCAUUGCAUUAUAUAUUAUUGAUGUGGAUGGAUUUUGGAUGACCCACUAGCCCUCGAUAUGAUAUGAUAUGAUAUGGUAUGGAAGUCCAGGGCUUGCCCAUUCUACACCCCUGGCACGAUGUAAUGGAAGUCCAGGGCUUGCCCAUUCUAGCCCCUAGCACGAUGUAAGGGAAAGACCAGGGCUUGCCCAUUCUACGCCCCUGGCAUAGUUGGACAUGUUAUGUUAUUUUUAAGAGAAAGUCCUGAGGAGCUCCGUCGAGGGCCGGGCACAUUGGAUAUGUAGAGGGUUACUGGUGACAAGUCCAUCCUUGAUGUGAAUUGUAUGUGUUGUGAUGCAUUUCAUGCGAGCAUAUGUUAUAUAAACUGUUUUUAUGGUUCUGCUCACUGGGCUUUAGUAGCUCACCCCUUUCCCCUAACCCCCAGGUUUGCAGGUUAGAGAUAGCACAGGAAGUCACCAAGGUUGAUGGUAUAUGCUAUGUAAUAUAUUAGUAGUGGACAUGUAAUGUAUUGUGGAUGGUAUUGUGCUUGGCCCUAUUGAUAGAUUGUAAUCCCUUUUGUACAUGAUCUUUAUGUAAAUGUUUUUAAUGAUGAGAUGGGUUGAACAAAGCUUGAUGUAUGAGAUGUUGACCCUACUAGAGCAUUUGAUGAGGGCUCUAGUAUGGGGUUUUUAUGUUUAUAGUUAUGAUGCAUGCACAAGUCAAGAUUGGUAUAUGAAAAGUUUAAGUUUUUACGAAAAUGUAUGAUCAUGUAUGGGAUUUCAUCAGGUAUAACAGGAUGUAUGUUAGGCUUGCUACGGGUUCCGGCGACCUUAAGUCGAUCUGAAUCCUAGCGCCGGUAGCGGUUCGGUUUCCGGGUCGUUACAAGUUCCUUUCCAAUUCUUAAAGUGAUGGCACUUACAUUCUAUAUGGGAUUAGUUUCUGUUUGAGAAGGGAGCUUACCUUGGGAUUCAAUCUUGCUCAUGGAUGUGGCCAUCUGUCCCAUCUGUUGUUGGAGAGUCUGUACAGAGUUUGCCAGUGUCUCCAUCAUCUUUUCAAGGUGCUGGAUGGAAUUUGGAGGUGCUGGUUGGGCUUGAUUUCUUUGAUAGUUCUGAUAGUUCUGGUUGUUGUUAGCCCUUCCAUAGCUGAAAUUGGGGUGGUCUCUCCAACCUGGAUUGUAGGUGUUAGAAUAUGGAUCAUGUCUUGCCUGACUGUUGUAUCCUCCAAUGGCAUUCACUUGCUGGCUAUCUUCUUGGAGAGUAGGACAUUGAUCAGCUGGGUGUCCUAUAUAUGCACAAAUCCCACAUGGCCUAGGUGGCUGGGAUGCUUGAGCCUGUUGAGCUUGUCCUAUGGCAAAAUUUUUCAUAAAAGAGGUCAAUUCAGAAAGCUGAGAAGAAAUAGUGGAUGUACUUACCUCAUUGACUCCUCUCUGCAGUUGCUUUUCUUCUCCAUAUUGCGUAGAUGAGGCUAUAAGGGUAGAGAUCAACUCUCUCAUCUCCCUAGGCGUUUUGUUUGCAAUGAAAUCUCCACAUGCUACAUCAAUGAAUCUUCUUUCUAAUGAUAGCAAACCUCCAUAGAAGAAUUCUAUGAGUGCCUUAUCUGAAAUAUCAUAUUGAGGACAACCUGUACACAAUCUUUUAAACCUUUUCCAAUAAUCAUACAAAUCCUCGGAUGGUUUCUGUCUAAUGCUACUGAUUUCUCUUCUUAUGCCAAUGGCUUUAGAAGUUGGGAAGUAUUUGUUCAAAAAGGUUAUUACCAUAUCAUUCCAAGAAGUGAUAAAUCUAGGUGGUAAAUAAAAUAACUAAUCCUUAGCAUAAUCAUCAAGUGAAAAAGGAAAAGCUCUCAACUUAACAUGAUCUUCAGAAAUACCUUGAGGUCUCAUAGAUGAAUAGACAAUGUUGAACUCUUUCAAGUGCUUGUGUGGAUUUUCAUUUUCUAAACCUCUAAAUUUAGGAAGGAGAUGAAUCAAACCUGUUUUGAGUUCAAAGGGAACUGUCAGAGGUGGAUAGGUGAUGCAAAAAGGUGUUUGAUCACCGAUAGGUACUGCCAACUCUCUCAUGGUUCUUUCUUUUGGCAUUGGGGCCCUCAUGGCUAGAUUUUCUUGUAUUAUUUCAUCAUGGACAGCAUGUCCAGCAUGGGCAGCAGGUUGUGCCACGUUUUCAGCCAUCUCUAGAGUUGGAUGGUGUGGUUCAGUGGUUUCAGAAGGUUGUUCUGCGCAGGGGACUCGUUCAGGUGCGAUUUCGGCUUCAGCUGUCUCCCAAAGCCGCGAUGCUUUUUUACCUAGUCUCCUAAUGGUGCGCUCAAUUUCUGGAUCAUAAGGCAGCGUCUCCUUAUGUCCAGAUCUGGUCAUGAAAGAAAAACAAACAAGUUAGAUCAAUUUCCCGGCAACGGCGCCAAUUUUUGACUCACAGUUGUCGAAGCCGGUCAAAAAUAACUUUUUCAGUUAUCAAUAAUAUUACUACUGUAGAUAGUGGUAAAGGAUCGAAUCCAUAAGGAAUUGAAAACUUACCUAUUCUUCUUAUCAAGACCAAGGAAAUUAACUGAAAGCAAAUAGACUGAAAGCAAGAUAAACGGAAAGCAAAAUAAAAAUAAAGUGCAAGUAAAGUAAAAAAAGGUGGGGUUUGAGAUUGAUUCAGUUAAUCUAAUGAUGAAAGCAAUAAAACAAGGUGAAUAAUAAAAAUAAAGGGAAAUCAAUAAUAAGAAAGCUCUAGUUGAAGAAUUGGAUCCACUUCAGUUGUUGGGAUUGAUCAUUGAAACUUAUGUUCUUUUGAUUGAUUCAAUAGAUUAGUUAUGGAGAUGGAAAACGCUUCUCACCACCAUGUCUCUCUUUAAUCAUAAACCAAUUAGGGAACGUCCUCUAAUUAAUUACUAAUCAACAAGUUGCCAAGGAAUGUCUUUGGGCUUUAGGCAUCAAAACAAUUGUCAAUUGCAUUAAGAGAUAGAGAGAUCCAAUCCUAGCUACCCAAACGCAUGAGAUAUUGCUAGAUUAUACAAUUUCUUUAGUUUUUACACCAAGCAUUCUUAUGUUUGAACAAUCCAAGCAAUUGCAGACUUAAAACUAUUCAAACUAACAGUAUAUUAUCUUGCAAUCAAGAAUCAAGUGACCACAUUAAUCAAAAUAACAAAGCAAUAAUGGAAUCAAGCAUGAAAUUGUAUGAAUAUUGAAUAAACCAAAGACAAACAAUGUAUGUUCAGAUCUCACAAUCCAUAAAACAACUUAAGUUUCAACCAAUCUUCAACUAGAAUAAAAGGUUUCAGCCACUCAUGGCUGAAACAAAACCAAAAAUAAAGAAGAAAGGUAGAAGGAGAAGAGUGGCCGAAGCCCUUGGAGAAGAUGGAGGUGUGCCUUGCGCAAACUGAAGAGAAGAAGAUUGUGGCCAGCUGGUUUAGGGAUCCUUAUUUAGGAUUUAUGUGCUGCCCUAGGUAAUACUUGCUGCCCAAGUACUUAAGUUGCUGCCCAAGAGGCUGCCCAUGCAAGCCUUGCCGCCCAAGUAGUGUUUGAAAGGGAGAGGCGCACGGCUUGUGCUUCAGAAGGCAAGAGGUGUGCGGCUAGGGCUUCAGAAGUGGGGAGUAUGCUGUCCAAACUUUCCUUUUUAGGUGGAGCCUUCUUUUGAAUUUCAAAUUUUGAACCUUGAACGCAAAAGAGGCAAGUGCGUCUUCUUGAGGUUUUGCUUCCUGAAUAGGCAGAACUGACUACUGAGGUGUCUUCACAUUCUGAACAAGGAAAAAGGAUUUGCAAUUUGAAUUUCAAAUGAUCUGCUGACUGUGCUUUCCUUAUCUGCCUCUUUCGUUAUUUGACACUUUCCAUAUUUGAAAGCUUUCCAUAUUUGAAAACUUUCCUUAUUUGGCAGUUUCCAUAUUUGGCACUUUUGGGCAGUUUUAAGAGCAUUUUCACCAGAUUGUCUCUCUACACCUAUCUUUUGUAAAAUAAGAUCAAAACCACAAAAUUAGGCAGAAAAUGUGUAAAUAAACAUCAAUAAUAUCAUGAUAAAAUGGUAUAAAUUAUGCUCUAUCAAGUUGUAUCCUCACUGCUGCUCUCAAUGAAAGACUCCAAAAUCAGAGUAGUAGUCUUUAGUUGCUCUUUGCUUUUCUUUAAUUGCUCUAGAAUCUCUGGCUUUACUUCCCAUUCCUCUUCUGGUUUAGUUUGCAUGCGGGCAUCUGGGCUUUCUUUUUUGCUUGUGAAUGAAUAGCUCGUCUUGUCGCGAUCGGAGAAGGCGCCAUUAUUAGUGCGACGAAUUCUAGUCGCGAUGCCAUGUUUGGCAUUGCUUUCUCCUUCUUAGCUGUCAGUUUUGGUACCGACGGUGUUUGAUAGCAGUUGUCGAAACCGUAAAAAAUAAACCUAUUAGUAAUCAACAAUUAAGAAUUGCAGAUAGUGGCAAUCGGAUCGAAUCCAUAAGAAUUUGACACUAAGGACUUUCCUAACAAUAACUUGGGCAAAUUAAUUAAAGUAAAAUAAAAGGGGUGGUUUUUUAUGAUGAUGAAUUAGGAUUAAAACUAAAGUAGUAAAAGAAAGCAAUGAGUAAAAGAUGAGUAAAUCAAUGAUAAAAAGACUCUAGUUGAAGCAUAGGAUCCAUCUUAGUUUGGAAAUUGAUCAUUGAUACCUUAAUUCUUCUAUUUGUUUCAAUAAAUUAGUUUAGGUCAUGGAAGAUGCUCCACACAACUAAAUUUCUCCUUAGGUUUAGUUUGAUUAGGAAAUGUUCGCUAAUCAAACACUAGUUAACAAGUCGCCAAUGAACGUCCUUGGGGGUUUUUACUUUUCAAUAGUUAUCUGCUUUAAGAAAUAGAGAAACCUAAUUCUAACUUAGCCAAUCGUAUGGUUUAGUUAGAUCAUGCAACCUCUUAGUUAUUACAUUAAGUAUUACUUGUAUUUGAACAAUCUAAGCAAUUACGGACUUAAAAUAUUCAAAUUAACAAUUUAUUACUUUGCGAUUAAAAGUAAUGGGCCCUAUUGAUUCUAACAGCAAGGCAAUAAUAAUAUGAAGAAUAAAGUUGCAUAAAUACUGAAAAAUAGAAGUUUGACAAUGGAGUUUCAGAUCUCCCAAUUCAUAACAAAAUUAAAAUAUCUCCAACUCCAACUAGAAGAAAAGGUGUUUAGCCAUUCAUGGUGAGCAAAAAAUACAUAAAAAGAAAGAAAGAAGAAAAGAAGUGGGACUCAGUGCUGCUGAAGCUCUGUGAAUUGGUGAUGAUUGCUGCUACUGGUUGUUGCCUUUUUAUAGAUGUGAAAACCCUAUAUCAGUCCUUGAUGAGAUGGAAUCCCUUUUUGACUUGGUCUUUGAUUUCUUCCUUGCUUGUAUUUCUUCAUAAUUAGACGUUCUUGGGUGAAGAAAUUCUUUUUGCACAGUGUUGGAUGUAUUUUAGAUGAGUUUUGGCGUGUUUGAGAUGGAAGAGGACCCUUGAAAUUUGAACUCUGGUGUUUUCCGCCUUUCUGCACUCUUCUGUCCUGUGGUGAUUGAUUUGCCCGGUGAUUUGGGCAAAUCAUUUGCCCUUAUCGCGAGUCUGUACUGUUUCUUCUCUUCUCUGUUCUGUAACAGUUGAUUUGCCUGAUGAUUUGGACAAAUCGCUUUUGGCAAAUCAAGUUCUUGGAUUUUAGCAUUUUGCUCCCAUCUACUUGUACAGCAUGGCCAUUCUUGGGGGUGAUUUGCCCAAAUUGCUUCGGCCAAAUCACUCUUCAUGCAUUUAAGGCCAUUUUUCACCGAUUCUUCGUUUUUCAUCUUUUUCUGCAAAAUAUUAUAAAAAUACAAAAUUAGCUAGAAAAAUGUAUAAUUUAGCAUUAAUAAUAAUAGUAAAAAUGUGGCUAAAUUAUGUAUGAUCAAAUACCCCCACACCUAACUUUUUGCUUGUCCUCAAGCAACAAUCAACUUGGUCAAUCAAGCCCCCCUUCUUUGAUCCUAUUCACCACUUAACGACUCCUAAUUUGAAGCAUCGCAGUGUAAAGUACAUGCACUAAAGUUACUACUUUCCUUGUUUCCCCUCACCUACCAUGGUCAAGAGUUGCCUUCCUCAAGAGAGAGAAAGUUUUACUUGUUCAUGCACAAAUUUUAGAUUUUAGUUUGACUUAUGCAACCUCGGGAAUGACUUGCCCUUCUUUUAAGUACUUUAUUCAACUUUGUGCACUUUUAUUCUUGCUUGAAAAAGUCACCAACCUUUUUACGCGAAGGUGCAUAUUUGUGAUACCCACCCCCCGGUUACUCAGUUGGUCACCUGUUCAAGUGGCUACUAGCUCUAUUCAUAGUUUUUGACCAUUGGAAUAGGUUUUUGGAUUUGUGCCUUUUAACUUUGCGGAUUUUUUCUCUACUUUUCACAAUGAUUUGGGCAAUCAAAAUACCGAAUGCUGCAUUAGCCUUUUUCAUUACAUACAUAUUCAGUUUUUAUUAUUCUUUCUUGACCACAACAAGUUUAAAGAUUCAAUUCAAAAAGAAACCCCAAAAGUGAAUGCAACUUACUGCAAAUGAUUCGAUUCAGAUUUAAAGAGUUGGUAAAUCAAUGGUGUCAUGAGCAAGGACACUCAUUUAACCUUGCUAUCUAUGCUGAGUAUAGUAAAAAAUAAAAAAAAAUUUUGUGCAUAUGUGUAAUUUCAAAAGAACAAAUAUGUGUGAAGAAGUAUAAACAUGCAAAUAUGCAUGAAAAGUGAAAACAUGCAUAAAAACUAAAAUUGUAUACAAAAAUCAGUGCCACAGUACCCCCACACCUAGUCCUAGCCAUUGUCCUUAAUGCAAAAUAUUGAAAUAGAAAGAAAAGGGACUUCUUGGGGUGUGUGAUUUGGCCAAAUCUAUGGCUAAAUCACGAGUGAUGGUGGUCUCUGGGCAGUAGGUGAUUCACCAGUAGCUGCAACAGUCCCUCCAUGUUCAAGAUUCUUUCUUCAAUUCGGUCCAGGCGAGCCUCUACUGAAGGGUUCUGUGGCGCACCAGCAGGUGCUUCCUCUGCUGCUAUAAGUGGGACUGGUGGUUGUGAAGCUGCCUCUUGACUGACAUCAUUUUUCCUGAAGAAACGCUCGUGGCGUGGUAUCAAUAGACCUGUAGGUGCAAGAGAAAAAGCACCCCCAACCUUACGAAGCAAUUCCAUAUCAUCCAAGGCACGCAGAUCCAAGAGGUUUGGCUCGCCGGUUAGGGUAAGGUUAGUAUGUUCAGGGUGUGAUAUUUUUAAAUUCACUGCAAGUAAGGUAAUAACAUGCCCAAGAAUCAAAGGGCGAUGGUAAGUAAGUGUGCCAGAAAUCUAAGUGGCAACCCAGAAUCCAAAAUUAAUUUUCUGCUUAGUGACCAUACUCCAAAGAAUGUAUAGUUCAGUUUUAGUCAGUGAUAGAGCAUAUUUUAGUCCACUUUCUCAUUAUGUUCUUGAUGUUUGUUUACAUCAUUUCUGCCUAAUUUUGUGGUCUUAAUCAUAUUUUGCAGAUAUUAGGUGUAAAGAGACAAUCUAGAGAAAAUGCUCUUAAAACUGCCAAAAAGUGCCAAAUAUGAAAAGUGCCAAAAAAGGAAAGUUUUCAAAUAAGGAAAAUUUUCAGAAAAGGAAAGUUUUUAAAUAGGGAAAGUGCAGAAGCAAAAGCAAAUAAGGAAAGCUCAGUCAGAAGAUUAUUUGAAAUUCAAAUCGCAGAUCUUUCUUUCCUUAUUCAAAGAUGUGCACACACUGCAGCAGUCAAAUCUUCCUAUUUAGGCAGCAAGAUUUCAAGGAGAUGCACUUGCCUCUUCUUCAUUCAGCAUUCAAAAUUCAAACGAAGGCUCCACCUAAAAAGGAAAGAUAAGACAGAUUCACUUUCCCUUCUGCAUUCAAUGACCACGCGCCACCUGCCUUCUGCAAAGCAAGAUGCGCGCCUUCCUCUUCUGAAUCCUUAGUGCGCGCCUCCUUCCUUCUGGAGAAUUUGCAACGCGAUUCUUUUCUUUUCAGCACUUUGAGCAGCCUCUUCACUAAUUAGGAAGCAAAUAUGACCUAGGGCAGCACUUUCAAUUAUAAAAAGACACAUAAGGAGUCUCCACACAACCUUUACACACCACCUUGGAGACACCUACGGGAUUCACAUCUCUUCUUCUACCUUUCUUCUUUUAUUUUAUUUUUGGUUUUGUUUCAGCCAUGAGAGGCUGAAACCUUUUAUUCUAGUUGAAGAUUAGGUGAUACUUUAGUUGUUAUAUGGAUUGGGAGACUUGAUCAAACAUUGUUUAACUUUUGGUUGUUCAAUAUUUGUGCAAUUUCAUGCUUGAUUUCAAUAUUGCUUUGUUGUUUAGAUCUACGUUGAUUCUUGAUUGCAAAGUAAUAAUAUGUUAGUUUGGAUGAUUUAAGUCCGUAAUUGCUUGGAUUAUUCAAACAUAAAAACACUUGGUGUAAAAACUAAGGAAAUUGUAUGAUCUAACGACAUCUCAUGCAUUUGAGUAGUUAGCAUUGGAUCUCUCUAUCUCUUCAUGCAAUUAACAGUUGUUUUGAUGCCUAAGGCCCAAUGACGUUCCUUGAAAAUUUGUUAAUUAGUAAUUAAUUAGAGGACAUUCCCUAAUUGGUUUAAUCAUAAGGAGAGACAUGGUGGUGAGAAGCGUCUUCCAUCUCCAUAACUAAUCUAUUGAAUCAAUUAAAAGAAACUAAGUGUCAAUGAUCAAUCCCAACAACUGAAGUAGAUCCAAUUCUUCAACUAGAGCUUUCUUAUUAUUUAUUUCUCUUUAUUUUUAUUAUUUACUUUAUUUUUAUUGCUUUCAGUUUUAGAUUAAUUAAAUCAAUCUCAAACCCCCCCAUUUUACUUUCAGUUUGUUUGUUUUCAGUUUAUCUCGUUUUUAGUUUAUUUGGCUUUCAGUUUUAUUUUGUUUCAGUUUUAUCUCGUUUCAGUUUUGUCUCGUUUCAGUUUUAUCUCGUUUCAGUUUUAUCUCGUUUCAGUUUAUUUUGCUUUUAGUUUAUUCCGUUUUCAAUUUAUUAUUGUUUCAGUUUAUUUUCUUGGUCUUGAUAAGGAAAAUAGGUAAGUUCUCAAUUCCCUGUGGAUUCGAUCCUUUCACCACUAUCUACAGUUGUAAAUUGUUGAUAACCAGAAAGGUUAUUUUUGACCGGUUUCGACAACCGCGAUUCAGUCAGUAUGUUUGGUACAUCUUUUCUAGCAUAGAAGGUGUAAGCUAAAAACCUAUGCAAGUAUUUUAAGCAAGUAUUGCAGGUCAUUGGAUUUAGUGGGGGAGUAGGAGUCUGGUGGGUUGUCACACAUGUCAGCAUAAACAGAAUUGGCAUUGUACUCAACAGGGUAAUCACAGAUGGAAUCUGGGCAAUCACAACCCAAUGCAGCAUUGAAUUCAUGCAUGGUCAUAUGAAAUCGCUGCCCUAUCAACCUAAAACUUACUGUGUCAGGUGUGUGUAUGGUGGUCAUGGCAGCCUUGUCAAAGAAGAAUGUGCAGAAGAACUCUUGAAUGAGUUCUAUGAAUGCAAACAUGCAAAGGUGAAAGAAUGUGCCCCACUCGAUGCUGUCAAUGAGAGAAUCUACUUUUGCAUGAAUCCCCAGUGCAUCAAGUGUGUCAUGGUGCAUAAACUUACCUGGAUGGUAGGGGAGGGAGGAGAUACUCUUAAACCUGGUGCACUCGGCCUAUUUGUUAAAGGCCAGAGCCUUUGGUGCAUGAUCCGGGGUUGAGGGUUUGGGCAAAUCAGACGUCCCGCAGAAGUCGUGUCUAGUGUGCUAUUGGAGGCUCCCAUUCGGCGCUUUGUGCUGGGUUGCUGCGGUGAGGCUGUGAGCACUUUAUCAAGUGUGUCACGACCUUCUAGUUUUAUUGUUACAUCUGAUGACUAUUCAACAAUAGGAUCUGUCCACUAGGCAUGUCGAAAUCAAUGAAGUGCUUAAGUUAAAAUUGCAGGGACUUGGGCAACUCCAACUCAUGCUCUCAAAAAACUUAUCAAAAAUUUUAAUUCUAAUAUUAUUUCUAUGUAAGACUCUUUUCCCUCUAAUAAAAUUGAGGAAUGUGGUUAUGAUUGUUGCUUUCUUGAAAGGUGACAAAAACUAGUAAGAGGGCACUUGAAGUGCAAUGUAGACUUGGUCAUCUGCAGUCAAGAAUGCAAGUCUUCAUUUGUGACUCCCAUUUGGAAUUCUGAAGGAAUGUUUAUAGAAGGUUUGAUUGGAUUUGCCGUUUUUAUGUACACUCCAUCUAUUGUUGAAGCUCCCGAUCUUAGACGGUUUAACUCAAACCAACAAAGUUCAAGUCAAUAUAGAGAUGGAUUCCAAAAGUGUGAUAAAUGUUGUUCACUCACUAGAUGAAGACCUUAUUGAAUUUGAGUUAAUUAUUAUGGAUUGUUGAUAAUUACUAUUGUUGGGGACUAAUUGGGCUUGUAUUGAAUUUAGAAAUAAACUAAGAAGCUAUUCAUUACUUUGCAAAUGUAACUACAUUAUAUGUUAGUCCUACUUGUUGAUAUGAACUUCUGAAUUCUUUUUGUAAUAAUUUUUUUUAAUGUUUUUUCUUAUUUUUUAUUUAAUAUUUUGAAUUCUAUAUUAGAUACAAUCGAGAGGCUUGCUGACUUGGAAGUUAGAACGGAUUUAAUAUAUUAAGUUUUUUAUGGAUUAAAAUUAAUAAAAUUUAAAUUAAAAAAGUGCUUUUAACAUUAUGGAAGAAAAUACAUGGAUUUGAAGCGAUUCAUUGAAAAAAAAAAAAAUUAAAUGUGUGAUUUGUCCACCUUUCGGCAUUACACUUUUGCAAUAUCAUGCCAAAACUUUAAAAAUAUCUCGGAUGGUAGUGUGUGUCAUGCUGAAAUCUAUCUUCACUCUGAUACCACGUGUCAUAGGCACUCUUGAGCACUGCACCUAUGCGGCACUUGGACAGACCCCAACGAGAUUACAGCUUGCUAAAUUCAGCCUAUCGAACAGUCUUGCCACAUUGACUGGUUUCGCCCUGCCUUAAGCUCAUAAGGGGAGCGGCUCCAGCCCUCGACCAAUGUAUGCAAGAAUGUGAUCCCACAUGCAACAACCCUUUUGAGCAACUCCCUGCCUAAUUUUUAUGGCAAUAUCUUCCCCAGUAUGGUGUUGCACAUCAGCAACUCCCUGCCUAAUUUUUAUGGCAAUAUCUUCCCCAGUAUGGUGUUGCACAUCUCCAAAAUUUAUAGACGUGACAACUCAUACUAGGUUGCAUUUUUUCAAGACCUAAAAAGACAAUUUACAAAAUAUGGCUCAAGAUAUAUCCAAAUACAUACAAAUAAGCCCAGGUCAAAGAAUAAAAGACCAACUAGGCUAACUCAAACCAACCAAAUCAACCCAAAUUAUAAUCCAAACCCAUCAGAAAUUUCAGAGUCUUCCCAGCCCAAUUCCAGUGAUUCCAGCAAAAGACACAACACCAUCCAUAGCCACCCAAAAUCUCAACAACUCCAAAUCUGACAAGUACUUUCACNNNNNNNNNNNNNNNNNNNNNNNNNNNNNNNNNNNNNNNNNNNNNNNNNNNNNNNNNNNNNNNNNNNNNNNNNNNNNNNNNNNNNNNNNNNNNNNNNNNNNNNNNNNNNNNNNNNNNNNNNNNNNNNNNNNNNNNNNNNNNNNNNNNNNNNNNNNNNNNNNNNNNNNNNNNNNNNNNNNNNNNNNNNNNNNNNNNNNNNNNNNNNNNNNNNNNNNNNNNNNNNNNNNNNNNNNNNNNNNNNNNNNNNNNNNNNNNNNNNNNNNNNNNNNNNNNNNNNNNNNNNNNNNNNNNNNNNNNNNNNNNNNNNNNNNNNNNNNNNNNNNNNNNNNNNNNNNNNNNNNNNNNNNNNNNNNNNNNNNNNNNNNNNNNNNNNNNNNNNNNNNNNNNNNNNNNNNNNNNNNNNNNNNNNNNNNNNNNNNNNNNNNNNNNNNNNNNNNNNNNNNNNNNNNNNNNNNNNNNNNNNNNNNNNNNNNNNNNNNNNNNNNNNNNNNNNNNNNNNNNNNNNNNNNNNNNNNNNNNNNNNNNNNNNNNNNNNNNNNNNNNNNNNNNNNNNNNNNNNNNNNNNNNNNNNNNNNNNNNNNNNNNNNNNNAUAUAUAAAAAUUUAAUGGUAUCAAAAAAAUUAUUAAAAAAAAAAAAUUUUCCCAUUCUGAAAUAAUCAGAGCCUAAGGAGGAUAUACAAUCGACUCCUUUAGACAAGCCAACCAUUAGAGGAGAAAAUCAAUAAAAAAAUGAUAAUUGAUUUUUUUUUCCCUUCUCUCUAUUUUACUUAAAUAUAAAUACAUAAUCAAUAAAUUUCAAUUGAUUGUACAAAGAGAAAUUCAUUUCAAUUUUAACUGAAUUUCGAAGCUACGUUUUACUAAUUAAAUGAUAAUUUUUUUGGUCUUUUAAAUAUGUCCAAAUUAAUAUUCAUAUUUAUUUUUAAAUAACUCAAAGAUUUAAUUUUUAUUUUUUGACUUUAUCAAACUGAAUAUCUAUAAGGGUGAGCAUCAGUUCAGUUUAGUUCAAAACCGAACAAAACCGAAUAAAUCAAAAAUUAAAUUUUAAUAUUUGUGAAAACUGAAUCGAACUGAUUUUGAUCAAAAACUAAAUUGAAUUGAACUGAAUCGAUCUGAUUCGAUUCAGUUUCAUUGAUUUGAAUUUUUAAUAAAUUUUUUAUUUUUUACUUUUUAUUUUUAUUAUUUUAAAUUUUAAUUAAAAUAUUUUAAUCUUAAAUAAUAUAAUAUCUCUAUAUUAUUGAUUAUCACUAAUUGAUUCGGGAAAAAUUAAAAUUGAAUUAAAUUAAAAUAACUGAAAUUUUUAAAAUAAAAAAUCAAAUCACAUGUGAAAUGAAUAAAAUAUCGAACUAAAUUUUUAAAUUAAUUCAAUUCAAUUAAUUUUUUUUUAUUUGAACUAAAUACUACUCACCCUAUCUACUCGUAUAAAUUUUAAUUAAUUAUCUAAAUAUAUUUAGGAUAUCCUGCAUGAUAAGUUACAUUUUUUAUUUUUAAAUUACGUCAAAAUUAAUAUCCAUUCUCGAUUUUUUAAAAUUAAUAAUUUAAUAUAUAUAUUGUUUAAUUUUAUAAAAAAAUAUUUAAAAUUUAUAUCAAUAAAAUCUUAAAUUUUGGCAGAAUUAAAAUAUAUAAAUUAAAAAUAAAAUAAGUAAUUUUUGCCCUGAAUUAAAUUACAGCUUAUAACUGAAUUUUAUUUUGCAUAUGUUACUUACUAUAAUAAAAUUGUUAUUAAAUUUAAAUAUGUUGAUAGUUUUCAGAUUAAUUCGGGACACGUUAUAAUUGAUUAUAUCGAGUCAAUAUCCUCAAUUGUGAAGAUCAUCUCUCAUCAACACAGAUAAUUGAAGUGUGUUCCAAGCUUUCCUUCAAAGUGGGAGCUCAGCCAGGUUGUUUAUCUGUAUCUGUCAUAAAUUUGUAGUUGCAGGUACGUAAUUUAUGCCAAUAUCGCUUUCUAAAUUUAUUAUAAAUUGUAAUUUAAGAAACAUAACAUCGUUUCUUUCUUAAAGAAACUCCAUCAAUUGAGCCACGGUCAAACGUAGACAAGGGGCUAUCCCCCGUGAAAUUUUUAGAUUUUUUAAAGAGUAUUAGUAUAAUUUCACAUUAAUACCUAACGUUUUAAAUUCUUUUCUCUUUUAUUUUUUCUCACUUUUACAGCAGCUCCUAACCUUUUAUUUUCUUUUAUCUCCUAAUUUCUAUCUAACAAAUUUCAUUUUAAUUCACAAAUUUUAUUUCUUCAAAUCCACUAUCUAUUAUCCAUUUUUUUUCUCUUUUUCGAGAUGAGUUAUUUUCUCAUUUUAUUUUUUAUAUUAUUUUUUAUUGUUAAAAAUUAAUUUAUAUUUUUUAUUUAUUUGAUUAUGUUGUUAAUUUAUUAUUGUUUAUUUCACUUAAUUAUUAAUAAUAUUAUUAUGGCUAGUAGUUUAAUCUACUUAAAAUUUAAAAAAUUGUGUAAAUUUUAAAUAUUAUUUUUAGGGAUAAUAAUUUAAUCUAAUCAAAAUUAGUACAAUAGUAUAAAUUUUAAAUAAUAUUUUUAUGGGUACUAAUUUAAUCUAAUCAAAAUUAAAAAAUUUUAUAAAUAUUAAAUAUUAUUUUUAUGGAUAAUAAUUUAGUGUAAUAAAAAUUAAAAAAAUUAUGUAAAUACUAAAUAUAGUUUUUAUAGAUAAUAGUUUAUAUUUAAUUAAAAUUAGAAAAAUUAUAUAAAUAUUAAAUACAUUUUUUAUGGAUAAUAGUUUAUGUUUAACUAAAAUUGGAAAAAUUAAAUAAAUUUUAAAUAUUUUUUAAUUGGUAAUAGUUUAAAUUUUGAUAAAUAUGAUUUUAUGGGUGAAAUAAUAAAAUAUUAUUUUUUUAAAAAAUAAAUUUUAACAAUAGAAUUAUUAAUGUAUUUAAAUUAUGUGUAUUAUUAUAGAGAUGGAGCGAUUCUUUAAAAAAAUGUCAACAAAUGCAUCGUCAUCGUUAUCGGUGAAUCAACCUGUUCAAUCAACUUCACCUAAGUAAGUAAUCGCUGAGAAUUGUGAAGUUGAUAUCAAAAACCUUCCAUCUGAUUCAGGACUUCAACCUAACAUAAUGAGGUAUUCGCUUGAUGUUAGAAAUCAGGUACGCAGAACUUACCUACUAAAAGGUCUAUAUCAACCACACAGUCAUAAAUUUUCUUAAAGAGUAGAUGGAAAUCGAAAUAGAAGAUUUAUUGUAUCUUGGUUUGAUGAAUUUGGGAGUUGGUUAGAAUAUAGCAUAACUAAAAAUGCUGUAUAUUAUUUAUAUUGUUAUCUUUUUUUCAUUUGAGCGUAGUGAAAGGGGUUAUGAUGCUUUUGUUACUGAAAGUUUUAGUAAUUGGAGAAAAAAGAAAAAUUUGAGAGAACAUGUAGGAAACCAUAAUAGCAAUCAUAAUAGAUGUCAUUUAGCUUGUCAAUAUUUAAUGAACCAAACUCAACACAUUGAAGAGUCUAUUUCAAAACAAUAAAAAAAGUUAAAGAUUGAGUAUCAUAGCUCCUGAGAAUUUGAAACUUAUAGCUCUUUCUAUUCAAAAAGAUAUCAUUAAUGCGUAUGCAGUUGAAACAAUAAAUGCUAUAAUUAGAGAUUUGGGGAAUGAUUUAUUUUCCAUUUUAGUUGAUGAAUGUUGGGGUGUAUCAGUGAAAGAGCAAAUGAGAGUUGUCAUUCGUUAUGUUAAUAAAUUUGGAUGUGUUGUUGAAAGAUUUUUUGAUAUUGUGCAUGUUAAUGAUACUAGUGCAUUAUCACUUAAAAAAGUUAUAGAGUCUUUAUUCUCUACCCAUGGUUUGAGUGUAUCAAGUUUGAGAGGCUAAGGAUAUGAUGGAGCUAGUAAUAUGCGAGGGAAAUUUAAUGAGUUUAAGAGUUUGAUUUUAAGGGGGAAUUCUAGUGCUUAUUAUGUCCAUUGUUUUGCUCAUCAACUCCAACUCACACUUAUUGCAAUUGCUAAAAACAUUCAAGCAUAUAAGUAUUUUUUUAAUACCAUUGCACGUUUGUAUAAUUUGUUAGAGGUUCUUGUAAAAAAAGAGACAUGCUUUGGGAAAAGCAAAGAGAGAAAGUAGUUGAAGGGAUUGAAAUUGUAGAAAUAGCAAUUGUAUAAGGUUUAAACUAAGAGAUAACAAUAAAGAGAUCAGGAGAUACUCAUUGAAAAUUUUAUUAUAGUACAAUAAUUAAUUUGAUACAUUUAUUUUUAUUUAUGAUUAAUAUUCUUGAAUAUAUUGGUGAAAACGGAAAUGAUGAUCCACAAAGAGGUGAAGCAAUUGAGUUGCUAGAUGUUAUGAGUCAUUUUGAAUUUAUUUUUGUAUUGCUUUUCACGAUAAAAAUUUUGGGAAUCACUUGUGAUUUAUCACAAGCUUUGCAAAGAAAGGGAUCAAGAUAUUAUAAAUGUUAUGCAGCUAGUUAAAGUUUCCAAAUAUCGAAUGCAAAUUGUAAGAGAUGAUGGUUGGAAAUUGUAAAAUAUAAAAUAGUUGUAUUUCACAAUAGAAAUUACAACCUAUUUAUACAUGAGAGACGGUAUCUAAACAGGAAGGAAAAUCAAGUCUAUGAUUAUACAAUCCCUGAUAUUAAGUAACUAACCCAUCUAUCAAUAUUUAUUUCCUAUAUUAACAUAUUUACUUCCUAUAUAACUUGUAACACUCUCCCUCAAGUUGGAUCAUAGAUAUUUAUCAUGCCCAACUUGUUAGAAAAAUAUUCUAUUCGAGACCCAUUUAAAAUUUUGGUGAAUAGAUCACCCAAUUGCUCUCUUGUCUUCACAUAACUGGUAAAAAUUAAAUUUUCUUGAAUCUUCUCACGGAUGAAAUGACAGUCAACUUCAAUAUGCUUAGUCCGUUCAUGAUAUACUGGAUUGGAAGCAAUGUGAAGAGCAGCCUGAUUAUCACAUCAAAGUUUCGCGGAUGUUGCAACAUCCAUACCAACUUCCUUCAGUAGAUGAUUUAUCCACAAAAUCUCAUAAGUCGAUUGAGCCAUGACCCUAUAUUCUGACUCUGUACUGGAUCUGGAUACCACAUUUUGCUUCUUACUUUUCCAAGAUACUAGGUUUUCUCCAACAAAUACACAGUAGCCUGUAGUCGACCUUCUAUCACUUUUAGAUCCCGCCCAGUCAGCAUCAGAAAAACACUCAAGUGCAGUAUGCCCAUGAUCUCUGUAGAGUAUACCAAGUCCAAGAGUCCCUUUUAGAUAACAUAAAAUUUGUUCUAGAGCAGCCCAAUGUGUCACCGUAGCUGCAGACAUGAACUGGCUUACAACACUUACUGCAAAAGCAAUAUCUGGUCGAGUCAUCACCAUAAGAUAGUUCAGCUUUCCAACCAACCUCCUGUACCUUUCUGAAUCAUCAUAAGGGUCUCCGUCAUCUUUUGUAAGACAUAUAUUAAGAAUCAUUGGUGUGCUACAUGGUUUAGCUCCCAUCUUCUCAGUUUCUACAAGUAAGUUAAUGACAUAUUACCUUUGAGACAGAAAAAUUUCCUUUUUACUCCUUAAGACUUCGACUCCUAAGAAAUACUUAAGCUGACCCAAGUCUUUAGUAUGAAAACUCGCAUGCAUGUAGUUUUUGAGAGAAGAGAUUCAUGUACUAUCAUUCCCUGUAACGACAAUAUCAUUAACAUAUACAAUAAGGAGAAUAAUAUCAGUAUUUGAAUUUCUAUAGAAGACUGAAUGGUCACACUUAUUUUUUUUCAACCCAAAUUUUUGAAAAACUUCACUGAACUUUCCAAACCAUGCACGGGGACUCUACUUCAAACCAUACAAAGAUUUCUUCAAAUGGCAGACUUUCCCAUACUCUCCCUAAGCAACAAACCUUAGUGGUUGCUCCAUAUACACCUCCUCUUGGAGGUCACCAUGUAAAAAUGCAUUCUUAAUAUCUAAUUGGUGUGAAGGCCAAUGCUGAGAAGCAGCUAAGGAGAUGAACAAGUGAAUUGAGGUCAUUUUUGCCACAGGAGAAAAGUGUCAGAAUAGUCAACGCCAUAGGUUUAGGUAUAACCUUUGGCGACAAGAUGGGCCUUAAGCCUCGCUAUGGAGCCAUCUGGAUUAACUUUGACAGCAAAAAUCCAUUUACAGCCUACAGUCUUCUUGCCAGAGGGUAAAUCAACUAAUUCCCAAGUAUGAUUUUCAUCUAGAGCCUUGAUCUCCUCAAACAUUGUAUCACGCCAUCCAGAAUGAGCCAGGGCCUCUUUAAUUGUCUUAGACAAAGAAAUAGAAUCUUAAGAGAUAAUUAAGGAGAUAGAAGGAGACAGGUGAUCAUAAGACAGAAAAUUAGCAAUAAAAUAGAUAGAUUUAUGUUGUCGUUUACCUUUACGAAGACUAAUGGGGAGGUCAAGGUCAGUCGGUAGUGGAUCUGAUGGCGAAGAAGAUUCUGGUGCGGAACAUGUAUCAUCAGGUACUAGUCUCCAAGAGUAAACUUGAACAACUGAUGGGUUAACAGGAGGCUAAAUAUUAGGAGGAAUGUUACCAUCAUAUUGUGCAGUAGAAGGCAUACUCGAAGAGGUCCCACCAUCAGAUAUGAUUCUAUAGAUGAGCCACUCAUCAUCAUCCUCUUGAUCAGGAGAGAUUUGUGCAACAGGAUAAAAAGAAACUUUCUCGAAAAAGACUACGUCUGUUGAGACCAGAUACUUGUUGAGGUCUAGAGAGUAACACCGAUACCCCUUCUGAAGGCGAGAAUAUCCCAAGAAAACACUUCAAAGCUUUAGGAUCAAGUUUAGUCACAUGAGGUCUGACAUCCCAAACAUAGCAAGUACUGCCAAACUGUCGUGGUUCGAAAGGAAAUAAUAGCUUCUUAGGAAAGAGGACAUUAUAAGGAGUAUUACCGUUUAGUACUGCGAAGGGCAUGCAAUUAAUGAGAAAGCAUGCAGUAGAGACAUCAUCAGCCCAAAAUUGUUUAGGAACUUGCAUUUGAAACAAUAAAGCUCUAGCAGUCUUAAGAAGAUAUCGAUUCUUCCUUUCAGCUACCCCAUUUUGAGCGGGUGUAUCAACACAUGACGAUUGGUGAAGAAUACCAUGUUGAGUCAUAUAAGCCUGGAAUGAUUCUGACAUAUAUUCUUUAGCAUUGUCGCUCCUUAAAAUUUUCACAAAAACAUUAAAUUGAGACUUGAUUUCAGCACAAAAGGCAAAAAAAUGAGAAAACACUUCUAAACGAUGCUUCAUAAAAUAAAUCCAAGUCAUUCUAGAGUAAUCAUCCAUAAAAGUGAUAAAAUAUUUGAAUCCAGUCUUAGAUCCAACCAGACAUGGGCCUCAAAUAUCUGAAUGAACUAAUUCAAAAGCAGACUCAGCUCAUUUAUUGACUCUAGGACUUAAAGAGAUUUGAUGAUAUUUUGCAAAAUGACAUGACUCACGUUCCAGUAAAGACAUCUCAUAAAAUUGAGGGCAUAACUUCUUCAAAACUGGUAAAUAAGGGUGUCCCAACCGACAAUGUGCCUCAAACGGAGACACGACACUGGAGCAGGCAACAGGUUGAGGCACCCAUGCAUCCAAAAUAUAGAGACCCCCAGAUACAUGUCGUUUACUAAUAAUCUGCUUCGUUACAAGAUUAUGAAUGAGACAAUGAUCAGAAAAAAAAAAGAAAACACAACAAUUUAGGUUUUUAGUAAGUUUACUCACAUAGAUUAAAUUAAAGAUAAGAUUAGGUAAACUUAGCACAAAUGAUAAGGUAAUAGAAGGAGUAGGUUUAACAGUCCCAGAACCCUCAACAUUAUAGGUUGAUCCAUCGGCUAUAAUAACAGGAGAAUAUGCUUUAUGAGAUCGAAAGCUAGUAAAAAUAUGAGGAUUACCUGUCAUAUGAUCUGUGGCACCAGAAUCAAUAACCCAUUUAUAUGAAGAGGAAAUAAGAUGUUGUAAAAUUAGUUUAGAUUUCAAAAAGAUUUUAUGGUCGUUGGAGAUUUCAUGGUAAUUAGAGAUUUUAUGGUCGUUGAAUAUUUUAUGGUAAUUAAAGAUUUUAUGGUCAUUAAAUAUUUUAUUUAUGAGAUUUAAAUAUAAUAUUAAAUAUGACCAUUAUGAUUUUAUUUCAAGAUUCUUAUAACCAUAUAUAGCGGUUAAGUUUUCCACAAUAAAUAGCUUUCGUCUCUACAAAGAUAUUGACGCCCCAUUUUCUACUUGAUUCUUUCUUUUCUCUAUGUUAUCUGCUGGGUUAUAAAUCAGAGAUAAAUUCUUGUUAUCCUGAUCCUGGGAAUUAAAUCCCAGAAGAACCUGUUUAAUCCUGAGGGAUCACAAAAUAAAUCCUUAAGGACAGUGUUCAACACGACUCAGGUUUCAUUGUUUUACCCAAUAUUUCUAACAAUCUUAAGGAUUUAUCUUUACACAAAUGGAACCAAAUGUUGUCACUGUCUCUACUUCUGCACUGCCCGCUUCCAAUGACAUUAUCACUGUCUCUGCUUCUACAAAUGGUGGGGUCUCUUCUGCCUACUGUCCUCACAUCUCAAAGAUUGAGAAUCAAGACCUGUACCUGCUGUUGAUCCAAAGUUGCAUGAAAUCUGGGUCUAUUCUAAUAAGGUAUAUAGGCAUACAAUUAUCAGUACUCUUUUUAACAAUUUCUUUGAUAACCACUGUUCCUACAAGGAAGCUAAGGAAAUAUGAGAUUCAAUGAAAUAUGUGAUUCAAUGAACCUAAAAUAUACUGCUGAGGAUGUUGACUACAAGAGUAAAUCUUGUACAAGAAAAAGUGCACAAAUCAAAUAACAGGUAUGAAAAUAAGAAAUCUGAUUACAAACCCAAAUUUAAUAAUCCCACCUUUGAAAGAAAGGACAUUGUUUUGUAUGUGAUAAGCUGGAUCGUUAUGCACCUCAAUACAGGAAAAGAGUGAUAAAUGACAUUCCUCCUAAACCAAAAGUGAAUUUAGUUGAAGGAGAUGACAUUAUUGUUGCGGUUAUUUCUCAAACUUUUCUUGUAGCUAAUGUGCUAGAAUGGGUAGUAGAUUUUGGUGCUACUAAGCAUAUCUAUACAAACAGAAAUGUGUUUACUUCCUACUGUACAGUGGGGGAAGGAGAAGAGCAUGUGUAUUUGAGUGAUUCUAGGACUAUAAGUGUCCUUGGUAAAGGGAAAGUUCUUCUCAAACUCACAUCUGGCAAGAUCUUGGCACUUAAUGAGGUCUUCAUGUACCUAAUAUGAGAGCUAAUUUAAUUUCUGUAGCUCUAUUGGGAAAGGCUGGGAUUAAGGUGUCUUUUGGGUCAGACAAAAUUAUACUGACAAAAAAUGAAAUUUUUAUUGGAAAAGUUUAUUGUAAUCAGAGACUCUUUAUUCUCAAUAUUUUUGCAAUAACAAAUGGAAAUACAUCAUCUUGUGCUUUCUUGCUUGAUUCUUUUGAUUUAUGAUAUGCUAGAUUAGGACAUGUUAGUGCUUCUUAUAUUAAAAAAUGCAAUAUCUUGGUAUAAUAUCUGGCACCGGUAAUACAUGUCUAAAUAAAUGUGAGAUUUGUGUAGAAUCUAAGUCAACAAAAAAAAUCAUAUUCAAGUACACAUAGAGAAUCUGAAUUGCUUAGUUUAAUACACACAGACUUAGGAGAUUUAAAACAAACCAUUACUAAAGGUGGUAAAAAAUAUUAUGCAACUUUUAUUGAUGACUAUUCUAGAUAUACUAAAGUAUAUUUGCUUAGAAACAAAGAUGAAGCAUUUGAUAUAUUUCAAUUGUGUAAAGUUGGAGUAGAGAAUCAAUUAAAGAGGAAAAUUAAAAAAAAAAAAGAUCAUAUAGAGGUGGGAAAUAUAUCUUAUUUAAUGACUUUUGUGAAAAAAGAAGGAAUAAUUCAUGAAUUUACUUUACCAUAUUCACUUAAAUUCAAUGGAGUAGUGGAAAGAAAAAAUAGAACAUUAAAAUAAAUAAUGAGUGCUUUAUUAAUAAGUUAUUCCUCACCUAAUAACCUUUGAGGGAAGCUUUAUUAUCUGCUUGUCAUCUACAAAAUAGGAUACCCUAUAAGAAAACUGAUAAAACACUCUAUGAACUUUGGACAGGUUAUAUACCUAACUUAAAAUAUUUAAAAGUGUGGGGGUGUCUUGCUAAAGAAAUUCUUCCUGAUCCUAAGAAAUGAAAAAUAGGUUCAAAAACUUUUGAUUGCAUGUUUAUAAGUUAUGUUGAAAUCUAUAAACUCAAGUUCAUAAGUUUGCUUUAGCUUCUAUACAUAAACUUGUUUUAGCUUUCUGAGACAGAAUUUCUUCUAUUAAAGUAUUAAUUGCUUUAGGUUUUAUGCAUAAACUCGUUAUUCAUCAAAUGGAUGUUAAAAACAGUCUUAAAUGGAGACUUUGAAGAAGAAAUUUAUAUGGUUCAACCUAAUGAUUGUAUUGUUUUUGGUCAAGAAAAUAAAGUCUGCAAACUUCUUAGAUCAUUAUAUGGUUUAAAACAAGCUCCCAAACAGUGGCAUGAGAAAUUGGAUUAAGUUUUGUUGAAUGAUGGUUUUAUCUCUGUUGAAGUUGAUAAGUGUGUAUAUACAAAAUGUAUAAAUGAUUGAUGAGUGCGUAUAUACAAAACGUAUAAAUGAUGAAUCUGUGAUUAUUUGUUUAUAUGUGGAUGAUAUGCUUACUUUUGGUACAAAUUAUGAUAUAGUUGUAAAUCAAAAACUUUCAUUGCCUCUAAAUUUGGUAUGAAAGAUGUGGGAGAGGCAAAUGUGAUUUUGGGAGUUAGAAUCAUAAGGAAGAAUGAUAGUCCAAUGCUAUCACAAGAGCAUUAUGUUGAGAAGCUUCUAAGGAAGUUUGGACAUUUUAAUAUCAAACCAGUAAGUACCCCUUGUGAUCCUAACUGUCAAUUAAAGAAAAUUAGAGUCUGAACAUGCAUAGAUCAUUGGGAGUCUGUUGCAUUUAGUGAAUUUCUUAUCAAUACCAUCUAUAUCAAUGCGUUGUGAUUGUCAAGCGGCAAUAGCCAUUGCAAAAAAUAAAACUUUCAAUGGUAAGAAUAAACAUAUUCGUCUGAGACAUAAUAUUGUUAAGCAGCUGCUGAAAGAUGGAACUAUUUCCAUUGAUUAUGUGAAGUCAGAAGUGAAUUUGGCCAAUUCUCUGACUAAAUCUUUAGAGAGAAAACUAAUAGAUGAAACAUCGAGAGGAAUGGGACUUAAGCCAGUUUGAAAUUAACAAUGAUGGUAACCCAACCUUUGUGAUUGGAGAUCCCAUGAAAAAGGUUCAUAUGUGUAAUAACAAGUCACCUGUUACUUCUGAUAGCACUAUUUAUUGUUGUCCCUUUCCAUGGUAUGAGAAGUGCUAGACUGCAUUAAUGAGAGGAUGAGAUGAAAACUCUUAAUGAUAUUCAUAUCCCUUAUGGGUGGUGUAUAAAUUGCAGUACACUUGAUGAUAUCACCUAUAUAAGUGUGGAGUGGGGCCGCUUCUAUGAGAUUGUGGCAUAAUCUCUAGAGCACUUAUGAACUACCAGGCGCGCGCAUGGCCUAUUAGUGCAAAACGGCGUUGACAACAAGAUCUGUGGAGUGUUAUGAGAUUGAUGAGAAAUUAACAUACAAAAAAGAGUUUUGGUUCAUAGAAACAAAAGUUUCACCAAUUACUCUGUAUGUUAAGUCUUAUUAAUCUAGGUCUGGUUCAUAGCCUAAAAGACACCAGAUUCGAAACAUACACUCUAAAUUUCUAAAUCCAGCAAUGAAAAUCUUUUGAAAUCUGUGGGGGAUUAUUGUAAAAUUAGUUUAGAUUUCAAAAAGAUUUUAUGAUCAUUAAAGAUUUUAUGGUCGUUGGAGAUUUCAUGGUAAUUAUAGAUUUUAUGGUCGUUGAAUAUUUUAUGGUAAUUAAAGAUUUUAUGGUCAUUAAAUAUUUUAUUUAUGAGAUUUAAAUAUAAUAUUAAAUAUGACCGUUAUGAUUUUAUUUCAAGAUUCUUAUAACCAUAUAUAGCGGUCAAGUUUUCCACAAUAAAUAGCUUUCGUCUCUAUAAAGAUAUUGACGCCCCAUUUUCUACUUGAUUCUUUCUUUUCUCUGUGUUAUAUGCUGGGUUAUAAAUCAGAGAUAAAUUCUUAUUGCCAUGAUCCUGGAAAUUAAAUCCCAAAAGAACCUGUUUAAUCCUGGGGGAUCACAAAAUAAAUCCUUAAGGACAGUGUUCAACACGACUCAGGUUUCAUUGUUUUACCCAAUAUUUCCAACAUAAGACACAUUUUACCUGUCUCAGCUGCUAUUGAAGAUGUUGGGAUAAUUUUAAUAACAUGGAUCUUAUUGUCAAAAACCAUUUCAAUCAAAACUCUAUACUCGUAUACCUUUAAACGAAUUAAAUGAAGAUAAUCUAACACCCAAACAGCAAACGAACCACAGAUCUGACAAGCGGGCUGCAAGGCAACUAAACGCCUCCACCCCACAUCCAAACGGCAAACGAACAACAGAUCUGACAAGCGGGUUGCAAGGCAAUUUCAGCGUCCUCUCUAGGUGGACGAUAAGAGAUAAAUUUUACCCUAAAUGGGUAACACAAAAGAACAGGAAUCCUAAGUCUCCAAAAAUUUUAAAACUUGACGAGAGAAAAAAAAAUCUCUAUGAGAAUGGCUCUGAUACCAUGUAAAAAUAUAAUAUUUUGUUGUAUUUCACAAUAAAGAUUAAAACCUAUUUAUACAUGAGAGACAGUAUCUAAACAGGAAGGAAAAUCAAAACUAUGAUUAUACAAUUCCUGAGAUUAAGUAACUAACCCAUCUAUCAAUAUUUAUUUCCUAUAUUAACAUAUUUACUUCCUAUAUGACUUGUAACAUGAAUCUUUACUACUUGAAGUAGUGCAAUUUUAUGGUAAACAUGAUAUAGUUGUGUUAGAGAUGGAUGAUUUGUACACAAUGAAAGGGAGAUCAAGAAGAAGAACUAAAAAGAUGAGAAAUCUUCAUUUCUACCGUGUUGAGCUAUUUUACUCUGUCAUUGAUAUGCAGUUUCAAGAACUUAAUAAUCGUUUUGAUGAAGUGAAUACAAAUUUGCUUUUAUGUAUGAUAUAUCUUGAUCCCGAAUACUUAUUCUCUGCAUUUGAUGUGAGCAAAUUGAUUGAACUUGCAAAAUUUUAUCCAUAUGAAUUUCUCCAGUUACUCUACUUGAACUUGAAUCUCAACUUGAGAACUUUGUCUUUGAUAUGCAUAUGGCCGAGAAGUUUUCUGAUGUGAUAGGAAUUUUGGAGCUCUUGUUAAAAAUGUGGUAGCUACAAAAAAGCAUAUUGUAUUUCCCUUGGUGUAUAUGUUUGUUAAAUUGUCAUUGCUCUUACCAGUUGCUAAAGCCACAUUUGAAAAAGUAUUUUCUGCAAUACACAUCAUCAAGAAUCGACUCCGCAAUAAAAUCAUCAUCAAGAAUCGACUCCGCAAUAAAAUGGGAGAUAAUUUAUUGAAAGAUUGUUUGGUAACUUAUAUCGAAAGAGAUGUAUUUAUAAAUGUUGAUAAUGAAGAUAUUAUGAAUAGAUUUCAAAUAAUGAAAAAUAGAUGAGAAAUAUUGUAAUUUUAUUGUAAUUGCUUAUCACUUUUUUAAUAUUCUUUUAAUAUAUAUUAUUUUUUAAUUAUUUAUUUAAUUUGGAUCCCUCCUGACCAAAAUUUAUGGAUCCAUCACUGUCCAUCAUCACCAGGGUUGUUCAUGGAACCAAUCCAUAAAUUCUAACUUAAAAGAAAUUAUAUACCCAAAAUAACUCGAAAUAAAGUUUCUAUAUCUUAUUUAUAAUAGCUCAUAUUUAAUUUAUUUCAUAUAAAUUAAAAAAAAUUUAAAUUUUAAGUCUUUGACCGUUACAUGAUAGAAGACCAUGUAAUUACUCCUUUAUAGGUAGUAGGCAUAACUGCCCACCAAGCAACUCUCUUUUUUCUCUCUCUUUAAUUCUAUCGUUAAAGAUAGAGAAAGCAUACUCUAAGCUCUCUGAAAAAAAUUUCUCUGCUCUCUCUUUCAUUAUCAAUUAUCAAAAUAGAUUCUUCUUUUGGAAUAAAAAGUUGUUCUCUCAUUUCAUUCUUUUUUGUUGAACUAUUUCCUGUAGAUGUUGGGCUAUUUCUUGUAUGCGUCAGGUGACCUCCUGUUCGUGUGGAAUGAAAGGGUGUUGGUCAUGGAAUUUAUGGAUAUCCAGGUGCUUGGGUUCUUAUGGAAUAAACUGUAAUUUCAAAUAACCUUUAGACUGUGAAUUAUAUGCAUGGUUGGUUAGAAACGCGUGAUUAUAUAUAAGCUAUGUGAUAUAAGGUGAACUGGUGUGUUGUUUAUUUAUUUCGAUUUUUCAAUAUUAGUAUCACAGCCUGAUUCCUUGUAUGUCAUAGUUUUAUCGUUAUUAGUUUCUGAAUGCAUAUACUUAUUUAUUUAUUUUUUAUUUUUUAUCCAAGCAUGUUUGCUUAUAUCCUGCUCUAUACUUUUAUUUUUUUUUUUAAAAUGUAAAAUUAGUAUCAUUGGAAAGCUCUUGAAAAAAGCUUUCCAACGGUAUAUCAUAUGAAUUUUUUUUUUAUAUAUUGGCUCAGAUAUAUAUUAUCAAAGUUUAAACCUUUUUGAAAUAAUUUUUUUUAUUCUAAAAUGUUUAUAGAAUAUAUUAUUUUAACCACAGUAGAGGUUAUAUGAACCUAAACUCUAGGAUUUAUUAGGUUUUGCCAAAAUUAAGUAUUACAGAAAGAUUCGGAAUACUAAAUCCCAUACCGAAAAGAUUCGGAAAGAAAUUGGAGCAUGUGAACGGCUGGUCCAGGCUACUGAGCCUAGACCACACACCCAGUCCGCACACAUGCACUGGGCGCCUAGACCGCGCAACCUAUGUGUGCAGCAUUGGCCACGCGUAGGCCAUGCGCGGGCUAGCCUAAAUUGGGCACCUGAAAAGCCCAAGCGCACGCAGGCUGGGUCAACCCAGGCCUUUUUUUAUUUUUCUUAUUUAAAAAAAUUAAAAAAAACAGCUCAAAUUCAUGGUCCAAAAUUUAUAUAAAAAAAUUAUUUUGAAUAGUGACAUUUAUAAAAAAAAAUUAUGGUAUAUGAGUUUAUGUUUCUAGAUAUCAAUCAUAAAAUUUUUAAAACACUUAAAUUAUAAGUAAUUUAAGACAUGAAUCUUAAUAUAAUUAAUUGUGAUUAAUUUUUAUAAUACAUUAGGAUUUUAGACGAUGAUUGAAAAUAUAGUGAAAUUUCAACUCUAAAAAUCUAAUGUAAAAUAAUUAUUAAUAUAAUUUGUUAUUAUUAAGGUUGGUAUAUGUAUGAACUAAGACAUUAACUCAUAUGUAUAAACAUUUCUAAUUUAGACUAAGAACAAUAUGUGCUUUCAAAUCUUUUUAAUUUAUCUUAAUAAGUGAGAGAAGCUAAAGAGGAUAACCUUGAAAUCUAAAGUAAGAAAAUUAUGUAUGUGCUCGAGGAACUAGAAGCUCUAAAAUUCCUUAACCUAGCUAUGGAAAUACUAGAAUAGGUCAAUAUAGUCCAACAUAGGCUGGACCGUGAGGCAUAUAAUAUUUGGAAUAAGUGAAUUUAAAUGCUCACAUCACGUUUACCGAGUAGACUUUACUGAGCAGUAUGGAUGAUAUUAUUAUGCUUGAGUUUACAAAAAUAUGAUUUAACAAUAGACAUACGGUCUGCAUCUAAAAGUGAGGUUUAAUGGAAUCUUGUGUGUCAAUCUUAUAGUUUACACUAUAUAAUCAUACACUUAUAAGAAGAGUUCUCAUCAUAAUAUAAGAAUACAUCUUAAGAUCAUGAGUAGUAUAGUGAAUGAGCUAAAAAAUGCUUGUCAUAUUUUGAUUGACAAACAGAAUAUUUAAGCGGUCAUAUGCUCUUUGUCCAAACACCUAGGAUCACAUGAAAAAUACUAUUUACCCGCAACAUCUAUAUUAAGUACAUGAAACGUAUUAUGCACUUCUUAGAACUAAAGUAGGAACGUCUGAUCUAAUGAGUAUAAAAGUGUAUAUAUCUAGUUCUAAUUCCUAAGGACGAAAAAGGAACUAGUGAAAACAUCAAGGUGGUAAAUAGUAUGGGAUAAAAAAAAAUUAAGCCUAAAAAGAAACAAUAAUAAAGGAAAGGACAAAUGUAAUACCCGGCUAGACUCCGGUAUCGAAAUCCCUACCGUCCGGUGGGAUCUCGGAUGUCAGAAACCUCUAGAAGGGUAAAACCAUGUUUUUAUAAAAUGUUUUAAUGUAUUUUAUGAUUUUAAGUAAAAAGGAAGUUGAAUUUUAAAUGAAAAUAGCCUUGGAGGAAGAUACAGGUUCGGCCGCCGAACUUCAUGUUCGGCCGCCAAACAUGCAUGUGUUUCGGGUGUGCCUUAGGCCCCCGAAGGCAUAAGUGAGGGAAACCAGGUUCAGCCGCCGAACCUUAUGUUCGGCAGCCGAACAUGGCAUGCAUGCUGAGGCACGUUCGGCUCCCGAAUGUGGCCUGGCCAGCCAUCUAUAAAGGGGUCCCUUAACCGAAAUGGGCGAACUUUUCUCCCCAUUUUUGGCCAAGGUGAGCUCUCCGCCGUCCCUCACCAAUUUUUGAGUUCUUCCUUCAGAUCUUUCAAGAUUUUCCUGAGUUUUCACUUUGUUUUGAAGAUUUUGAGCAUUUUAGCAAGUUUUAAAGCUUGGAAGACACAGGAGCUCUUUUCCUUUGGUUUCCAAGUUUAGGUCGUCUUUCUCUCGAUCUUCAAGAGGUAAGAGCCGAUCUUGAGCUCAUUGCAUGUUUUAAACAAGUUUUAAGUUGAUCUAUGGGGUAGAAAUGCAUGUUUAGGUUUUGGUUGAUUUUAUAGGUUAUGAUAAGUUUUUAAGCAAUGUAUGAUGUUUGUGGUUGCUUGAUGUGUUGUAGUUGGGGUUUAAGAUAGUUUAAAACCCCUAGGAGCUUGUAUGCUUGAGUAUGCAUGUUGUAGAUCAGGUUUAUGCAAGUUUGAAUGGAAUGGGAGGCUAUUGUACAUGAAGAGCCGAGUUUCUGCCCUUUUGGCAGAAACCAGGUUCGGCAGCCGAAGGACUUUCGGCCGCCAAACCUGCCUGGGAGGCAAGCCUUUCGACUGCCAAACCCUGCCCCCAAAAGAGGACUUUCGUCUCUGGAGGGCAGUUUCGGCCGCCGAAAGUGCCGCUGAACAUGCAUGAGUUUCGACUCUGUCUGGGAGUUUCGGCCGCCAAAGGUGCCGCCGAACUUGCCUGACUUUCGGCUCUGGAGGGACUUUCGGCCGCCGAACCUGCCGCCGAAAGUGCCCUGUUCAGCCUUCCUUUACAUGUUUCCAUAGAUGUUUUGAGGUGUUUUUUGGGGGUUUUUGGGGAGUAUUUUAAAGUCAUGUUCAUGUAUGUUUGGUCCCUCAUUUGAGUCCAUCUGUGUAGGUUCAGACCCGAGGAACCGAGGACCCCAGCAGUGAGUUCAGCUGCUUCUGUGUCUGUCAGAGCUAGCCAGAGGUGAGUGGAAUAACUCUUUAUGUUUUAAAGUAAAUAAAUCAGUUUUAGCAUGAUUCACGCAUCAUGAAUGCUAUGAGAUAUAAUAGGGUGUUUGCAUUAGAACUCACGAAUAUGUUGCAUUGCAUAAUAUGUUGAUGAUGCGGAUGAAUGUUGAAUGAUCCUUUAGUCCUCGUAUGUUACGAUAUGAUGAUGAUACGGUACGAAAGACCAGUGAGGCCCAUUCUACGCCCCUGGCACCAUGUAAGAGAAAGACCAGUGAGGCCCAUUCUACGCCCCUGGCACAGUAGGAAUGUUAUGUUAUGUUAUGUUAUGUAAGAGAAAGACCAGUGAGGCCCAUUCUACGCCCCUGGCACAGUUGGACUAUGUAGAGGACUAUUGGUGAAAAAUUCAUCCUUGAUGUGAUAUGAUUGUGAUGUGAUGCAUUCCAUGUUAUCAUAUGUUUAAAAUGUUUUAUUAUUCUGCUCACUGGGCUUUAUAGCUCACCCCUCUCCCUUAACUCCCAGGUUUGCAGGUACAGGGUAGACCAGGAGGUCAGCAAGAGUAAUGAAGUCUUGGUUAUGUAAUAGAUAGUGUGGACAUGAAUAAUGUUGAGAUGUUAUGUUUAGUACAGUCAUGUAUAAGUACAGUAUAGAAAUGUAAUGUACUGAUGUUCAUGGAUGUUAGAGGUGUGCUUGACCAUAGAAUGUUGUUAUCCCUUUUAAUACAUGAUCUUAGAUGUUUUAUGAUGCUUAUGUAAACCAACUCAACACUUGUUAUGUCACCCAUUGGGGCAUUGAUGAGAUCCCCAAGAGGGGUCAAUGUUUAUGGUUAUGAUUAUGUAUAGUGCAUGCACAGGUUGAGUUUGGUGUAUGAGAGAAUGAAUGAAUGAAAAGAAAAGUUUUAAAUUUUUUAUAUAUGUUGUUGAUCAUGUAUGGGAUUAAACAGGUUCACAGGUGACAUGUUUGGCUUGCUACGGGUCCCGGCGGCCUUAAGCCGAUCUGGAUCCUAGCGCCGGUAGCGGUCCAAUUUCUGGGUCGUUACAAAUUGGUAUCAGAGCCCUAGGUUCAUAUGGUCGGACCUAGAGUGUCGGGCUCAUAGAUGUUAUAGAAGGUCAAGCACAAUAGGAAGAUCAUGUCCACUAGGAUAGGAUAAAGAGUCCUGUCUUGAAUGGUGAUGUGAAAUGCCAUGAUUAUAUGCAUGUGCAUUAAUGUUAUGCUAUGAUGUGUGAUGUAUGUGAUGUGGGUUCGUGUGUUUGCGCAUGAACCAUUUGAUGCUAAUGUUCUACGUGAUGUACUGUUUUUCAGAAAACAGGAUGAGAGGAACUUGUCGAUCUGCACGAUUGACUGGAGUACCACCCCAGGACGAGGGCACUGAUGCCCGUCCUCCUGCAUUGCCUAGGGCAAUGUCAAGUAGGUCAAGUAGGUCCAGCAGAGAAAGGACCGUAAGAGACCCUAGAAGGUCUUUGGAUCUGGGUAGAAGCAGAUCAGUGAGGGGGAUAGUGCAAGGGGAAAUGUCAGAGGAUGUGGGAGAUCAGAUGGAUGUGGAUCAGAGGAGGGAUGACAGUCUCGGAGUAAGUAUGUCGGAAGAGGGAAUGGGAGAGUCCCAAGGAGGCACUCAGGCCUCGGGAUUUGUUCAGCCACCCUAUUACCCACCCUUUUCACAUAAUCCCGGGUAUUCGAUGGGAGGUACAUCGGAUUACCCCAGUUUUAACCCUUAUCACUCUCAGAUGCCAUACCCAACUUUCUACCCACCGUACCCACAGUACCCCAUGUACCCACCCCCAUCUUUCUAUCCAGGUACAGCAAACCCUACCCCAGGGGAUGCUGCACCUCCUCCACCACCAGCAACACCUACUGUCCCAGAAACCCAAAUGCCUAAACCUAGCUCAUUUGGAGGGAGCAAGGUCAAGAUGACCGACUACAUGAAGCUGGGUGCUCCCCAGUUUGAAAUCGGUGAUGACCCGUUUGUGUACCUUGAAAGGGUCAGAACGAUUACAGAUGAGAUAGGAGCUGAUGACAGUAGAGCCAUUCAGAUGGCUGGGUUCACACUAAAAUGCAGGAAGGCUCGAGAGUGGUUUAAGAACUAUGUGAACCUGAGAUUGGACAACCUAUCAUGGGAGGAGUUUGCAAAUGAGUUUGCAGGAUGGGCUUUCCCUGACAGUUCCAGGGAGCUGAAAAUGAUUGAAUUUGAGCAGUUGAGGCAGACAGAUGAGAUGAGCGUGGAUGAGUAUACAGACAGAUUCUUGGAGCUGUUGCCGUUUGCUGGGCAGAAUCUGGACACAGAUCAGAAGAAGUCAAGGAGGUAUAUCAUGAGGCUCCAUUCCAGGUAUUCCUCCUUGAUUCAGUCAGCAGAGAGGGAGAGUUUCCAUGCCAUAGUGGAUAUGGCUCGAAGGAUGGAGGCUAGUGCUAUCAUCGAAGGGAAAGUCAAACAGUCAGUGGCACAGCCUUCUGGUUCUAAGACCCCAGGUGGGGGAAGGAUAGAUCCUUCUUCUCUGAGUUCAGGAAGUAAGAGGUGGAGCAGUACCACCAAGAAGCCAAAGAAGAACAAGUUCUGGAAUAAGAUCAAGUCAGGUCUGGGAUUAAAGAGUGGCUCAAGCUCUGGUGCAGAUAAUGCAGUAUGCAAGAAGUGUGGGAGGCCGCACAAAGGAGUAUGUCUGGUUGGGACGACAGCCUGCUUCAGAUGUGGGCAGGAGGGACACACGGCACGGGAGUGUCCUAGGGCAGCUUUUGGGGCACAGUCUCAGCAGACAGCUUCUGGUAGUGUGGCUCAGCCAGCAGCUCCAGCCGCGACUCAAGCUAGUGGCAGCCUCUUCUUCAGCGGGUUUCAGGGGUGAAGGCCUGUCAGCUCCAGCACUGAUCUUCACCAUGACACAGCAGGAGGCAAAUACAUCCAACACCGUGGUGUCAGGUAAUCUCAUCAUUGGGUGUUCAGAUGUUUAUGCCUUAAUGGACCCUGGUGCAUCGCAUUCUUUUAUAGCUCCGAGAGCCGUCGAGAGGUUGGGAUUGAUGGUCUCUGAGUUAGAGUGUCCCCUAUGGGUCAGUGGACCCAAGUGUGACCCGUCAGUGGCAGAGUCAGUCUGCCAGUAUAGUCCAAUUUUUGUGGAGGGAAGAUGCCUGUCCGCCGACCUUGUGGUUCUAGAUUUGACAGAUUUUGACGUCAUUCUAGGGAUGGAUUGGCUAUCUACCCAUGGUGCUACCUUGGAUUGCAGAGACAAGGUAGUCAGGUUCAGAUGUCAGGAUGGGUCAGAGGUUGUCUUCAGAGGAGACAGGGGGAGACACCUAGAGGUUUGAUAUCAGCCCUCCAGGCUCGUAGGCUACUCAGGAGAGGUUAUCAGGGUUUUCUAGCUCAUGUGAGAGAGCUGGAUAGUCAUGUCAGAGAGCCCGCCUCAGUGCCAGUGGUCAGAGAGUUCUUAGAUGUUUUUCCAAACGAGCUGCCAGGUUUACCACCUGCUAGGGAGAUAGAGUUUGAAAUUGAAUUGAUGCCUGGAACUAGACCGAUCUCUAUCCCUCCCUACAGGAUGGCACCAGUAGAAUUGAAGGAGCUUAAGGAGCAGUUGCAAGAGUUGGUAGAUAGAGGAUUCAUCCGACCGAGUACCUCACCUUGGGGUGCUCCAGUGCUAUUUGUGAAAAAGAAGGAUGGAUCCCUUAGACUUUGUAUCGACUACAGGCAGUUGAACAAGGUCACUACCAAGAAUAAGUACCCGUUGCCAAGGAUCGACGAUCUAUUCGACCAGCUAGCAGGAGCAGGUUGUUUCUCCAAAAUAGAUCUGAGAUCGGGGUACCAUCAGCUAAGGAUAAGGGAAGAGGAUGUGCUGAAGAUAGCCUUCAGGACCAGAUAUGGGCAUUAUGAGUUCCUUAUGAUGCCGUUCGGGUUAACCAAUGCCCCUGCAGCAUUCAUGGAUCUCAUGAACAAAGUGUUUAGCCAAUAUUUGGAUCACUUCGUUAUUGUCUUCAUAGAUGAUAUCUUAGUGUAUUCCAGGGAUGCAGAGGAGCAUGCCCAUCAUCUGAGGUUAGUUCUGCAGACCUUGAGGGAACAUGGCUUGUAUGCCAAGUUCUCCAAGUGUGAGUUCUGGCUGAGGAGAAUCUCUUUCUUGGGGCAUGUGGUGUCAGAAAAUGGAAUUGAGGUAGACCCCAAGAAAGUGGAAGCUAUAGCUAACUGGCCUAGACCCACUACAGUGACAGAGAUCAAGAGUUUUUUGGGUUUGGCAGGUUACUACAGGAGGUUCGUUCAGGACUUCUCUAAGAUUGCAGCUCCCAUGACCAGACUGACUAAGAAGAACCAGAGGUUUGUGUGGACCGACCAGUGUGAAGAGAGCUUUGAGGAGCUCAAGAAGAGGUUGACUUCAGCACCAGUGUUAGCUCUGCCAUCUAGUAAUGAAGACUUCUCAGUCUAUUGUGAUGCGUCCCGUGUGGGACUGGGUUGUGUGCUAAUGCAGAAUGAAAGGGUGAUUGCUUAUGCUUCUAGGCAGCUGAAGAAGCACGAGUUGAAUUACCCUACACAUGACCUAGAGAUGGCAGCGGUAAUCUUUGCACUCAAGAUGUGGAGGCAUUACCUUUAUGGGGUAAAAUGUGAGAUCUUCACCGAUCAUAAGAGCCUGCAGUACAUCUUGAGUCAGAGGGAUCUGAAUCUGAGGCAGAGGAGAUGGGUAGAACUGCUUAGUGACGAUGAUUGCAAGAUCCAAUACCAUCCGGGUAAGGCAAAUGUUAUGGCAGACGCCUUAAGCCGGAAAUCACUUGGCAGUUUGUCCCAUAUUACAGCGGAGAGGAGGCCAGUAGUGAGGGAGUUCUUCGAGGUCUUGAAUGAAGGUCUACAGUUGGAGUUGUCUGGUACAGGUGCUUUGGUAGCCCAGAUAAGAGUGGCACCCGUGUUUCUAAAGCAGGUGGCUUAAAAACAGCAUGAGGACCCAGAGUUAGUGAAGAUUGCCAGGACUGUUCAGUCAGGCAAGGAUAGUGAGUUCAGAUUCGACAGCAAGGGGAUCCUCCGCUAUGGGAGCAGAUUGUGUGUACCAGAUGACAUAGGGCUGAAGGGAGACAUUAUGAGGGAGGCUCAUAAUGCAAGAUACAGCAUUCACCCCGGAGCCACCAAGAUGUAUCAAGAUUUAAAGAAGGUUUAUUGGUGGCCAGCUAUGAAGAGAGAAGUGGCACAGUUCAUGUCAGCCUGCGAAGUGUGUCAGAGGGUGAAGCUGGAACAUCAGAAGCCGGCUGGAAUGCUUAACCCACUACCUAUUCCAGAGUGGAAAUGGGAGAACAUAGCGAUGGACUUCGUAGUGGGGUUACCGGCGGCGUCCAACAGAUUGGACUCCAUAUGGGUGAUUGUGGACAGACUCACCAAAUCUGCUCACUUCAUCCCUGUCAGGAGUGGCUAUUCUGUGAACAAGUUGGCGCAGGUGUAUGUUGAUGAGGUUGUUAGGCUGCAUGGGAUUCCUGUUUCAAUAGUGUCUGAUCGAGGGCUCCAGUUCACCUCCAGGUUUUGGCGGAGUCUGCAGAACGCUAUGGGUACCAGGUUAGAUUUUAGCACUGCUUUCCAUCCACAGACGGACGGACAAUCAGAGAGGACCAUCCAAACCAUAGAAGAUAUGCUCAGAAUGUGUGUGCUGGAUUUUGGCAGUUCUUGGAGGCAGCAUCUACCUUUAGUGGAGUUUGCCUACAAUAACAGCCAUCAUGCUAGCAUAGGGAUGGCUCCAUAUGAAGCUUUGUAUGGAAGGAAGUGCAGGUCGCUUGUCUGUUGGGAAGAAGUUGGAGAAAAGGCCUUGGCAGGGCCUGAGCUAGUAGAGAUCACCAGCAGGGUGGUACCCAUAAUCAGAGAAAGGAUCAAGACUACUGCAAGCAGGCAGAAGAGUUAUGCAUACAUCCGCAGAAGGCAAGUAGAGUUUCAGGAGGGGGAUUUGGUAUUGCUCAAGGUGUCUCCAAUGAAAGGGGUGAUUCGGUUUGGGAAGAAAGGUAAGCUAGCUCCACAGUACAUCGGACCCUUUGAGAUCUUGCAGAAGAUUGGGAAUGUAUCGUACAAGCUAGACUUGCUUGCUUCAAUGGAGAGAAUCCAUCUGGUUUUCCAUGUUUCUAUGUUGAGAAAGUUCGUGUCAAAUCCGGGCAAGGUUCUUAGUGAGCCUGAUGUGGAGAUCCAAGAGGAUCUCACCUAUGUUGAGCAGCCAGUACGGAUCCUAGACACCCAGAUCAGAAAGCUAAGGAACAAGAAAAUCCUGAUGGUGAAAGUCCUUUGGAAUCACCACAACAUCGAAGAGUGUACCUGGGAGACACGGGAGUCCAUGCUCCGGCUGUAACGACCCGAAAAUCGGACCGCUACCGGCGCUAGGAUCCGGGUCGACUUAAGGCCGCCGGGACCCGUAGCAAGCCUGACAUAGGACCUGUAAACCUGUAUAAUCCCAUUCAUGAUCAACAAUAAGCAUAAAAAUUAAAACUUUCCUUUGCAUACUCAUCAACCAAACUCAACCUGUGCAUAAACAUUAACAUAACCUUGAUCCCUCUGUGGGAUCUCAUCUGUGCCCUCAAAGGGAUAACAUAACCUGUGUUGAGCUGGUUUACAUAAACAUCCUCAAAAUCUCUAAGAUCAUGUAUAAAGAGGGAUACAACAUUCUAUGGUCAAGCACAUACUAACAUCCAUAAAACUCAUUACAUAACUAUACUGUACUUUUACAUUACAAUUUUGAUCAUGUCCAUUACUAGCUAUUACAUAACAUGACUUCUUUACUCUAUCCGGACUCCCGCUCUAUACUGUACCUGCAAGCCUGGGGGUAAAGGGAGAGGGGUGAGCUAAAAGCCCAGUGAGUAGAGCUAGUAAAACACAUUAACACUAUGCUCAAAUGGAAUGCAUCAUAACACAGACAAUUCACAUAAGGGUUGGGUGAACUUGUCACCAAAUAGUCCAAGUUAACUCUGUGCCAGGCCUGUAGAAUGGGGCCGGGUCUUCCUGUCAUAACAUACAUUACUUACCAUUUUCCAGGGCCUCCUCUGGGCUCCUGGUCUUCGAGUCCCAUAACCGUGCAUUACUCUGUGCCAGGCCUGUAGACUGGGGCCUGGUCUUUCUUACUCUGUGCCAGGCCGUAGCAUGGGGUCCUGGUCUUCCUGUCUUGGACUAAUUGGGUCAUCCAACAUUCACCCACAUCAACAACAAUUUAUGCAAUGCGGCAUAUUCGUGAAAACUAAUGCAAUCAUCCUAUUGCAUAAUCAUGAUGCAUGAAACAUGAUAAAACAUUUAAUUUAAAAGAUUCGGUUUAGUUCCACUCACCUCUGGCUGACUCUGACAACACCGCAGCUGAACUCACUGCUGGGGUCCUCGGUUCCUCGGGUCCGAACCUACACAGGUGGACUCAAAUGAGGGACCAAACAUACUUGAACACAACUCCAAACUACUCCCCAAAAACCCCCUAAAACGUCCCAGAAAAUAUGCAUGAAAUGGCUGAACAGGGCACUUUCGGCGGCACCUUCGGCGGCCGAAAGUCCUGGACAGAGACGAAACUCAGCUAGGUUCGGCGGCACCUUCGGCGGCCGAAAGUGCCAGAGACGAAAGUCUCUUUUCGGGGGCAACUUCGGCAGCCGAAAGGCCUGCCUUCCCAGCCAUGUUCGGCGGCCGAAAGUACCUUCGGCUGCCGAACCUGGUUUCUGCCAAAGGGCAGAAACUUGGCUCCCUUAACACAUCUCGCCUCCAAUCCUUUCCAAACAUGCAUAUUUUUCAACCAAAACAAGCAUACAAGUUCCUAGGGGUCUCAAACAUACAUAUACCCCAUCUACAACACUUCAAUCACACACAAACAAGCUACAUUGUUCAAAACAUCAACAUUAACCCAUAACUCAUCAUAUAACCUAACAUGCAUUCUACCCCUUAAAACUUCAUAAAACUUGUUUAAAUCAUACAUUGAGCUUAAGAUCGGCUCUUACCUCUUGAAGAUCGAGGGUUGAGGAGAUCUAAACUUGGAGAUGGGAGAAGUUCCAACUUUUGGUCUCCAAACUCCAAAACUCGUUCUAAGCUCAAAGAUCUUCAAAACCAGAGUUAUAAACUUGUAAAGAUCAUGGAAAAAGGAAGGAAAAACUCAAGAUUGAGGGAGGAUGGCGGAAAGCUCACCUUGGCCGAAAUGGGGAGAAAAAGCUCGCCCAUUUUCGGCUAAGGGACCCUUUUAUAGUGGCUGGCCAGACCACGUUCGGGGGCCGAAUGUGCCUCCGCAUCCAUGCAAAUGUUCGGCGGCCGAACUUGACUUUCGGCGGCCGAACCUUUGCUUCCCUAACUCAUGCUUUCGGGGGCCUAACGUGCCUCCAAAACGCAUGCAUGUUCGGCGGCCGAACUUGACUUUCGGCGGCCGAACCUGGGUUUUCCUCCAAAGACUUUUCAUGCAAAAACUCAUUUAAUUCACACUUAAAAUUAUUUAAAACAUAAAAACAUUUUAUAAAACAUGAUUCUACCCUUCUAGAGGUCUCCGACGUCCGAGAUUCCACCGGACGGUAGGAAUUCCGAUACCGGAGUCUAGCCGGGUAUUACAUUCUCCCCCCCUUAAGAACAUUCGUCCCCGAAUGUUCCUCAACUAACACAUGCAUAGCAAUCAACAUAACAUACAUACAACACAAAGAGACUAACCUUAAAAGAGAUGAGGAUAUUGCCGGAGCAUGGACUCCCGUGUCUCCCAAGUACACUCCUCAAUAUUGUGGUGGUUCCAAAGGACUUUCACCAUCGGGAUUUCCUUGUUCCUUAGCUUUCUGAUCUGGGUGUCUAGGAUCCGUACUGGCUGCUCAACAUAGGUGAGAUCCUCUUGGAUCUCCACAUCAGGCUCACUAAGAACCUUGCCCGAAUCUGACACGAACUCUCUCAACAUAGAAACAUGGAAAACCGGAUGGAUUCUCUCCAUCGAAGCAGGUAAAUCCAGCUUGUACGAUACAUUCCCGAUCCUUUGCAGGACUUCAAAGGGUCCGAUGUACCGCGGAGCCAGCUUACCCUUCUUCCCGAACCGAACCACUCCUUUCAUUGGAGACACCCUGAGCAAUACCAGANNNNNNNNNNNNNNNNNNNNNNNNNNNNNNNNNNNNNNNNNNNNNNNNNNNNNNNNNNNNNNNNNNNNNNNNNNNNNNNNNNNNNNNNNNNNNNNNNNNNNNNNNNNNNNNNNNNNNNNNNNNNNNNNNNNNNNNNNNNNNNNNNNNNNNNNNNNNNNNNNNNNNNNNNNNNNNNNNNNNNNNNNNNNNNNNNNNNNNNNNNNNNNNNNNNNNNNNNNNNNNNNNNNNNNNNNNNNNNNNNNNNNNNNNNNNNNNNNNNNNNNNNNNNNNNNNNNNNNNNNNNNNNNNNNNNNNNNNNNNNNNNNNNNNNNNNNNNNNNNNNNNNNNNNNNNNNNNNNNNNNNNNNNNNNNNNNNNNNNNNNNNNNNNNNNNNNNNNNNNNNNNNNNNNNNNNNNNNNNNNNNNNNNNNNNNNNNNNNNNNNNNNNNNNNNNNNNNNNNNNNNNNNNNNNNNNNNNNNNNNNNNNNNNNNNNNNNNNNNNNNNNNNNNNNNNNNNNNNNNNNNNNNNNNNNNNNNNNNNNNNNNNNNNNNNNNNNNNNNNNNNNNNNNNNNNNNNNNNNNNNNNNNNNNNNNNNNNNNNNNNNNNNNNNNNNNNNNNNNNNNNNNNNNNNNNNNNNNNNNNNNNNNNNNNNNNNNNNNNNNNNNNNNNNNNNNNNNNNNNNNNNNNNNNNNNNNNNNNNNNNNNNNNNNNNNNNNNNNNNNNNNNNNNNNNNNNNNNNNNNNNNNNNNNNNNNNNNNNNNNNNNNNNNNNNNNNNNNNNNNNNNNNNNNNNNNNNNNNNNNNNNNNNNNNNNNNNNNNNNNNNNNNNNNNNNNNNNNNNNNNNNNNNNNNNNNNNNNNNNNNNNNNNNNNNNNNNNNNNNNNNNNNNNNNNNNNNNNNNNNNNNNNNNNNNNNNNNNNNNNNNNNNNNNNNNNNNNNNNNNNNNNNNNNNNNNNNNNNNNNNNNNNNNNNNNNNNNNNNNNNNNNNNNNNNNNNNNNNNNNNNNNNNNNNNNNNNNNNNNNNNNNNNNNNNNNNNNNNNNNNNNNNNNNNNNNNNNNNNNNNNNNNNNNNNNNNNNNNNNNNNNNNNNNNNNNNNNNNNNNNNNNNNNNNNNNNNNNNNNNNNNNNNNNNNNNNNNNNNNNNNNNNNNNNNNNNNNNNNNNNNNNNNAUUGUGGACUCGAAGACCAGGAGCCUAGAGGAGGCCCUGGGAAAAUGGUAAGUAAUGUAUGUAUGACAGGAAGACCAGGACCCCAUGCUACGGCCUGGCACUAUGUUAGCUUGGACUAAUUGGUGACAAGUUCACCCAACCCUUAUGUGAAUUGUCUGUGUUAUGAUGCAUUUCAUUUGAGCAUCGUGUUAAUGUGUUUUUACUAGCUCUACUCACUGGGCUUUUAGCUCACCCCUCUCCCUUUUCCCCCAGGCUUACAGGUACAGGAUAUAGUGCGGGAGUUCGGAUAGAGUGAAGAAGUCAUGCUUAUGUAAUAGAUAGAAAUGGACAUGAUCAAAUUGUAAUGAGUUGUAUGGAUGUUAGUAUGUGCUUGACCAUAGAAUGUUGUAUCCCUUUUUUUUUAUACAUGAUCUUAGAGAUUUUGAUGAUGUUUAUGUAAACCAGCUCAACACAGGUUAUGUUACCCUUUGAGGGCACAGAUGAGAUCCCACAGAGGGAUCAAAGUUAUGUUAAUGUUAUGCUCAGGUUGAGUUUGGUUGAUGUUCAAAGGAAAGAAAAGUUUUAAUUUUUAUGCAUGUUGUUGAUCAUGUAUGGGAUUAUACAGGUUUACAGGUUUUAUGUUAGGCUUGCUACGGGUCCCGGCGGCCUUAAGUCGACCCGGAUCCUAGCGCCGGUAGCGGUCCGAUUUUCGGGUCGUUACAUUUAUGUGCUUAGUAUGUAUGUUAUGUGUAUGCCAUGCUUGUGUUGUUUGGUGAACAUUCGGGGACGAAUGUUCUUAAGGGGGGAAGAAUGUAAUACCCGGCCAGACUACGGUAUCAGAAUCCCUACCGUACGGUGGGAUCUCGGAUGUCGAAAGCCUCUAGAAGGGUAAAACCAUAUUUUUAUAAAAUGUUUUAAUGUAUUUUAUGAUUUUAAGUAAAAAGGAAGUUGAAUUUUAAAUGAAAAUAGCCUUGGAGAAAGAUGCAGGUUCGGCCGCCGAACCUCAAGUUCGGCCGCCGAACAUGCAUGUGUUUCGGGUGUGCCUUAGGCCCCCGAAGGCAUAAGUGAGGGAAAUCAGGUUCGGCUGCCGAACAUGGCAUGCAUGCGGAGGCACGUUCGGUUCCCGAAUGUGGCCUGGCCAGCCAUCUAUAAAGGGGUCCCUUAGCCGAAAUGGGCGAACUUUUCUCCCCAUUUUCGGCCAAGGUGAGCUCUUCGCCGUCCCUCACCAAUUUUUGAGUUCUUCCUUCAGAUAUUUCAAGAUUUUCCUGAGUUUUCACUUUGUUUUGAAGAUUUUGAGCAUUUGAGCAAGUUUUGAAGCUUGGAAGACACAGGAGCUCUUUUCCUUUGGUUUUCAAGUUUAGGUAGUCUUUCUCUCGAUCUUCAAGAGGUAAGAGCCGAUCUUGAGCUCAUUGCAUGUUUUAAACAAGUUUUAAGUUGAUCUAUGGGGUAGAAAUGAAUGUUUAGGUUUUGGUUGGUUUUAUAGGUUAUGAUAAGUUUUUGAGCAAUGUAUGAUGUUUGUGGUUGCUUGAUGUGUUGUAGUUGGGGUUUAAGAUAGUUUGAAGCCCCUAGGAGCUUGUAUGCUUGAGUAUGCAUGUUGUAGAUCAGGUUUAUGCAUGUUUGAAUGGAAUGGGAGGCUAUUGUGCAUGAAGAGCCGAGUUUCUGCCCUUUUGGCAGAAACCAGGUUCGGCAGCCGAAGGACUUUUGGCCGCCGAACCUGCCUGGGAGGCAAGCCUUUCGGCUGCCGAACCCUGCCCCCGAAAGAGGACUUUCGUCUCUGGAGGGCAGUUUCGGUCGCCGAAAGUGCCGUCGAACAUGCAUGAGUUUCGUCUCUAUCUGGGAGUUUCGGCCGCCGAAGGUGCCGCCGAACCUGCCUGACUUUCGGCUCUGGAGGGACUUUCGGCCGCCGAACCUGCCGCCGAAAGUGCCCUGUUUAGCCUUCCUUUGCAUGUUUCCAUGGAUGUUUUGAGGUGUUUUUAGGGGGUUUUUGGGGAGUAUUUUAAAGUCAUGUUCAUGUAUGUUUGGUCCCUCAUUUGAGUCCACCUGUGUAAGUUCGGAGCCGAGGAACCGAGGACCCCAGCAGUGAGUUCAGCUGCUUCUGUGUCUGUCAGAGCUAGCUAGAGGUGAGUGGAAUAACUCUUUAUGUUUUAAAGUAAAUAAAUCAGUUUUAGCAUGAUUCACGCAUCAUGAAUGCUAUGAGAUAUAAUAGGGUGUUUGCAUUAGAACUCACGAAUAUGUUGCAUUGCAUAAUAUGUUGAUGAUGCGGAUGAAUGUUGAAUGAUCCUUUAGUCCUCGUAUGUUACGAUAUGAUGAUGAUAUGGUACGGAAGACCAGUGAGGCCCAUUCUACGCCCCUGGCACCAUGUAAGAGAAAGACCAGUGAGGCCCAUUCUACGCCCCUGGCACAGUAGGAAUGUUAUGUUAUGUUAUGUUAUGUAAGAGAAAGACCAGUAAGGCCCAUUCUACGCCCCUGGCACAGUUGGACUAUGUACAGGACUAUUGGUGACAAAUUCAUCCUUGAUGUGAUAUGAUUGUGAUGUGAUGCAUUCCAUGUUAUCAUAUGUUUAAAAUGUUUUAUUAUUCUGCUCACUGGGCUUUAUAGCUCACCCCUCUCCCUUAACUCCCAGGUUUGCAGGUACAGGGUAUACCAGGAGGUCAGCAAGAGUAAUGAAGUCUUGGUUAUGUAAUAGAUAGUGUGGACAUGAAUAAUGUUGAGAUGUUAUGUUUAGUACAGUCAUGUAUAAGUACAGUAUAGAAAUGUAAUGUACUGAUGUUCAUGGAUGUUAGAGGUGUGCUUGACCAUAGAAUGUUGUUAUCCCUUUUAAUACAUGAUCUUAGAUGUUUUAUGAUGCUUAUGUAAACCAACUCAACACUUGUUAUGUCACCCAUUGGGGCAUUGAUGAGAUCCCCAAGAGGGGUCAAUGUUUAUGGUUAUGAUUAUGUAUAGUGCAUGCACAGGUUGAGUUUGGUGUAUGAGAGAAUGAAUGAAUGAAAAGAAAAGUUUUAAAUUUUUUAUGUAUGUUGUUGAUCAUGUAUGGGAUUAAACAGGUUCACAGGUGACAUGUUUGGCUUGCUACGGGUCCCCGUGGCCUUAAGCAGAUCUAGAUCCUAGCGUCGGUAGCGGUCUGAUUUCCGGGUCGUUACAACAAAAGUCUUUUCGGAUAGAAAAAGAAAAAUAUUGCUAAGGUCAAAUGUUUUAACUGUAUAGAAUAGGAUCGAAAUAUUUUCGUGAAAUUCUGAUGACUUCUUCUAUGAGCAAGAAGGAUAUUUAUUAGGCAAUAACUUCAAAGUAGAGGUGAAAGGUUUAAUCACCUGCGAACUUGCUAUAUGUAGUAAGCAAAUUAUGUUCCUAUAUAAUAUUUAAUUUGUUCCAUAAAUUCAAUGGAAUUUAUUAUUUGUGUUGGUGUUUAAAAAACUUAUUUUUUUUUUUAUUUUUCAUGAAUUAGGUAUAAACUUGUUUUAAGUAUAAGUUCUAGUAGUUCUAGAUAUUUCCUGAAUAUUCAUAUUGGCUUAGAAAUUAUAAGUAACUUCAAUAGUAUUUUUUUUCCUAUUUUUUUAUCUUUUGAUAUAUCUAUGAAUGAUGCAAAUAUGCGGUAUCCUAUGCUUGACCACAUAAUUAAUAGAUAGGCAAUGAUUAGUAAAGUGGGCCUGUUAGGUAAUAUUAAUAAAGUAGAUAUGUUCAUUUAUAAAUAUUACCUAAUUUGAAAUUAUCUAGGAGUAAGAGCUGAAUUUCUAUUGUAUUUAAUAUUUUCUAGUAAAUGUGAUUAUAUGUAUAUGAGGUUAGACAUAGUGGGCAUCUAUUUCGUAAUUAAUGACUACUCUCUAUAAGGUUAUGACUAUUUUAUAUCUUAUUAAAUUGAAACUUUAAGUUGUUUUAUUAAAUUUUUUAAUUUAGUUGAGAAUCAAUUAGAUAGAAAAGUAAAGACUUUAAGAACCAAUCAAAAUGUAACAAAAAUGAGAAAUAGAAUUCUAUUAGGUUAGGUCAAUAAUGAGAUGAGAAAUUUUGUCAAUAAUUUAUUGGGGUGAUAUAUUAUUAGUAAUCACUAUUGAACUUAACCUAAUACAACUUCCACUCUAUAUGAGUUAUGGACUAAAUACAAAUUUUUUUGUGGACUUUAAAACUAUAGGAUUAUAAAAUUAUUCAUGAAUCUUCAUAUAAAUUUGGAUGACCAAGCGCAAAAAUACGUACUUUCCAAGAUAUCUUUGAGCAAUUAAAGGAUAUAUAUUCUUCAAUGAGCAAGAGAAUGAAAGUUUAACUAAGUUUAAAUCAUAGGGGCUCGCAUUCUUUAAAUUUUUUUCUUUUAAACGUAUAGAGAUAGGAUAAGUCUUACCUCUAAAUUAAACUCAUGACCAAACUAUUUCCGCUACAGAAUUUUUUGAUAGACACAUGUCCAAGUGGGAGUAAUAUGGAUACAGAUCAAUAUGGUUAUUAGUUUCAUAAUUGCAUCUUGAAGUAAGUGUAGUCAUAGAAUCUGGUCCGAGUGGAAGUAACAUGCAUAUUGAUGAGUCAAUAGAUCAAUCUCAACUAUAAAGAAUGUGUCAUUUAAGGAUUUUCAAUUGUCGUUUUGAGAUUGAAGGGGAAGUAUUUAUUGUUAUUCCUGAUGGAGAUGAGCUGAGAAAUGUGUUUCUUAACCUUUUAGAUCUUCAACUGAGAAAAAAAUAGAUGAAAACAAUGGAAUGAAAAAUGGAGUCAAUGUAGAGUUGCCAUUAGGACCUAAAGCGAUUGAGAAUUAGUAGAUUCUCAAAGUAGAGCAUAAGGUUGACAGUAGUAUCAAGAGAUACAAAAAUUUGUUUGGUAGCUAAGGGGAUACACACAAUAGAAAGAAAAGAAUUAUUAGUAUUUUUUUUUAAUCUGUUGUGAGGCUUACCUUGAUAAGGUUAUUUUUAAAAAAUUGUAUUAGUUGUUAACUUGGAUUUUAUAUUAUAUCAAAUGGAUGUGAAGACUAUUUUUUCUUAAAUAGAGAAUUAAAUUUACAUGAAAGAGUCUAUAAAUUUCAGUGUAAAUGGUCAAGGACACAAAAUAUGUAGAUUCCUAGUCAGUCUAAGACCUUAAAUAGUCUUCGAAACUAUGAUAUAUUAGAUUUCAUAAUACCGUUGGGUUUUAUGAUUUCACUGUGAUUAAUGAUGAUCAUUGAAAUAUACGUAAAAGAUUCAAGAAUAAAUUAGUAAUCUUAUCAUUGUAUGUAGAUGAUAUACUUAUAGCUAGAAAUGGUAGUGAGUAUAUCACAACCGUUAAGGUUUAGUUACCAUCUUUUGAGAUGAAAGGGAUAAAGAAGUUGCAUAUAAUCUUAGAAUCGAGAUUCUAAGGGAUUAUUAAGAAAACUAUUGUCUCUUUCCAAAAGUAAUAUAUCGUCAAAGUAUUACAAUGAUUAAAUAUGUAAAAUUUCAAACCUAUAGAUACUCAUUUUUUUCAAAAGAAAAGUUUUAAGUUAUAGAUUAUAUCGUAAGACUCCAAAAGAGAGAAGUCAAAUAAAAAUAUUCUAUAUAAGAGUGAAGUCAGGAGUCUAAUGUAUGCUAUAAAGUGUAAUAGACUUGAUAUAUUCUAUGCUAUAAGUAUAGUAAAUCAAUGUGACCCUAAGCGUGUAUAUUGGAUAUCGUGAAUUGGAUAUAGAGAUAUCUUAGAUGUAUGUUAGAUUAUUCAUAAUGUUAUCAAGGAAAUAGUCUGCAAGUGGGAGAUUACAAAGAUGCAUAAAAGAGAGGAGAUUUAGAUGAGGCUACAUCUACCUCAAGAUAUAUCUUCUUAAGAAGUAAGAGGUUAUAGUUUAUUAUACUAGAGAUAUAAAUACACAUAACUUGAAAGUUUUUUCUACGCUUAAUAUGACUUUUGAGUCUGUUGAACCUAAAUAUUCUAAUCCUUGUUUUGAUGAUUAAUAAACAAUGAGUGUUCUACUAAUUAUCUUCAAAAGUGUUUGUGUUGAGCUUGUAGGUCCCUUAUUAAAAUGAAUGAAAUUGCUUUAGUCUCAAAAGUGAAAACGCCAAUUUUGGAAGCAUACCACAAGAAAGGGAUCAGAAAGUAUUUUUUGUUUAUGCAUUGUCAAUUUAUGCAUUGUGAAUUUCAAUUAAUUAAUUGUGAUGGUUCAAGAUUUCUUUCACUUCUAAAAGUUUUACAAAUACGGCUGAGUUUUGAUUAAUUGACUUUGAGGGACCAAAAUAAAAUUUUUCAAAAGGAGUGAUUUUGAGAUUAUUCUUUAUCAAAAUUAAAGAUCUAAAAAUAUAGGUUAUAAAAAUUCAAACGGAUUGAAAAAUAGAUUUUCAUAGUCUAAGUUAUGAUUUUUCAAAGAAUUUAAUAAAACAUUUUUGUGCCCCUAAAGCCAAUUUCGGCUUCCGAAAGUCAGGGAUAGAAACGAAAGUCCCAUAUGUUCGGCCGUCGAACAUUGACUUUCCGCCGCCAAAAGUGGGUUUUCAAUAUGCCCCCUAAGUCAAAACUUCGACUUCCGAAAUUGAGGGACAGAGACGAAAGUCUCACACAUUCGGCCGCUUAACAUUAACCUUCAGCCGCCGAAAAUGAAUCUUCAAUAUGCCUCCGAAGUCAAAACUUCGGCUUCCAAAAGUGAGGGACAGAGAUGAAAGUCCCAUAUGUUCGGCCGCCGAACAUUGACUUUCGGCCGCCGAAAGUCUUUUUAUAAGGAGGAUGUUCUUCACCUCAAAUGGUUCGGCUACCGAACUUUAAGUUUAGGCUGCUGAACCUGAGUUUUUCUGAACACGAUAUAACGGUUAUUUUUGUACACAAACGGUUCUAUUUGUAUUUAAUGCAUCUCCAACGGCCAUAUUUAUGACUGAACUAUAAAUAUAUUGUGUUUUUUAUCUGAAAAGAUUACAACAACCAUCUAAGCAAAUACUUAUUUAGAUUAAAGCAUUUUUCACUCUCUCUCUCUCAAAACCUUGAGCCAAAGCAUUAAUUUCUUGAAAGCCUGUCUUGAGUUGUAAUUGGUUCAUUUUUUAAGAGUGAGUGAAGGUUGUUGAUUGAUUCUAUUGUAGUGGGUGUGUUAUUGAGCAAAUGAUUGCUCUUGAAUGAAAAAGAGAAUUAUUAAGAGCAAAGGUUUGCUAUAAGAUUGUAAGGGGUUUUAAUAUUCACCCAAAGAAGAUUUGAUAGUGGAGUUGAACUCUCAAGGAGAGCCUUGAGGAGAGGACGUAGGCUUGAGAUAGCUGAACCUCUAUAAAUCUUUGUGUAGAUUAUCUUCUUCCUUAUUACCUUCUAAUUUGUGUUUUUGCCUUUAAAUUUUUUAUAAACCCAAUUCACCCCCCUAUUGGGUUGCUUCAAGGGACAACAAGUGGUAUCAGAUGUAAUGACCCGAAAACCGGACCGCUACCGGCGCUAGGAUUCAGGUUGAUUUAAGGUCGUCGGAACCCGUAGCAAGCCUGCUGUGCACUCUGUGUACCUGUUAAAUCCCAUACAUGAUCAUACAUUUCCAUAAAAAUUUUGAACUUUUGCAUUUACCAAGCUUGACUUGUGCAUGCACUAACUCUGGGAACAUAAAACCACAUACUAGAGCUCUCAUCAUAUGCUCUAGAUGGGUCAUCAUCAAAUAUCAAGCUUGGUUCUCAUCAUAAAAUACAAUAAAACAUAAUGAAAUGAUCAUGCAUACAAGGGAUAACAUACUCUAGGGUCAAGCACAAUACUAUCUCCAUAUACAUUACAUCAUCUCUAUACAUUACAUUAUCUCUGUGUAUAAUACAUCAUGUCCACUACUCUAUACUAUUACAUAAACCUUUACCCUUGUUGUUACUCUGUCUUCUCUCAAGCCCUGAAAACAUGGGGGUAGGGAGAGGGGUGAGCUACUAGAGCCCAGUGAGCAGAACAAUAAAAACAUUUAAUAAAACAUGCUAUCAUGAAAUGCAUCAUAGCACAAGUAAAGCACAUCAUGGAUGGACUGACCCAAAAAUCCCUCUGCUCUGUGUCCGGCCCUCAAAGGAGCUCCUCAGGACUUCUAUUACAUACAAUGAACAUUGUGCCCGGCUCUCAGGGAGCUCCGCAGGACUUCUACUACAUGGAAAUAAUAAUCAGAGGGCUAAAGGGUCUCCAUGUUGUCCAUCCCCAUCAACAAUAAAUAAUGCAAUGCGUCAUCUUCGUGAUCACUAAUGCAUUACACCCUAAUAUAACAUGGCAUUUAUGAUGCAUGAAUCAUGCUCAAAACUUUGCAUUUAUGUAAGGAUACAGUUCAGUUCAGUUCCACUCACCUCUAGCAACUGCUGGGACUCUGUAUCACUAACUUUGUGGGCCUCUUGGGUUCCUCGGGUCCGUACCUACAUAGGUGGACUCAAAUGAGGGACCGAACAUACUCUAAUAUAGCUAUAAACAUCUCCCCAAAAACCCCCUAAAACAUCAUAAACAUGCAUGGAAAAAUGGGCAAAGGAAGGCUGGACAGGGGACUUUCGGCGGCACCUUCGGCGGCCAAACCCCUCUCCAGAUCCGAAAGUCUAAACUUUCGGGGGCAAGGUUCGGGAGCUGAAGGACUUUCCAGAGCCGAAAGUCACCCACCUUCGGCGGCAUGUCCGGCGGCCAAAACUCCCCUCCAGAGCCGAAAGUCCAAACUUUCGGGGGCGAGUUUAGGCGGCCAAAACAGCCUCCUCAAGGGGUUCGGUGGCGGCCAAAACAGCCUCCUCAAGGGGUUCGGCGGCCAAACCUGAGUUUGCCAAGAAGGCAGAACUCGGGUCAAACAUGCAUACUCAGCCUCCAAAACCAAACCAAACACUCUCAACAUGCAACCAACCUCUCAUAAUCAUGCAUAUACCCUUAUCCAUGCACAUAGGAGCUUAAAAACUAGUUUAAACUCCACAAACAACAUCAAAGCAUUAGAUAUGGCAUAUGAGCAAUAUACCCUAUAAACCUCUAGAUCCACUUAAACCAUACCAUAAAACUCCCUUAAACCCUUUAAAACAUGCUUAAAACAUAAGGGGAGGUGAGGAUCUAUACUUACCUCUUGAAGAUCGAGAGGAUCGAUGGUCCUAACUCGGAGAUGUGGAGGAAAACGAUCCAAAAUCUCCAAACUCUCAACUUUGCCUUCUUUUGCUCAAAACUUCAAAAACACAAGUUAAAAACUCAUUAAAGCUUGCAUGAUUUGAAGAACAUGGUGAAAACAGCCAAAGGAGAUCACAAACUCACCUUUGCACGAAAAGAGGGUGAAAACACACCCCAUUUCUGGUCAAAGGAGCUUUUAUAGGUGGCCAGCCGACUCCCCUUCAGCGGCCAAAGCUGCAUGCGAAACCAUGCAACGUUCGGCGGCCGAACUUCUCUUUCAGCGGCCGAACCUGCAAUUUUCCUCCUUGGUCUUUUUCUUUUCAAAACUCAAGUUUCUUUUGAAAAACCUCUGUUUUACCCCUUUGGAAGACUCCGACAUCCGGGAAGUCCACAUUCCAACGGAGAUUCCGCCGGAAAGUAGGAAUUCUGGUGCCGGUGUCUAGCCGGGUAUUACAUCAGAGCUAAGCCCUAUCUUGAAGAUUUAAUAAUCUUCGAGAAAAGAUCGGAUGGCAACCCUCAAUUCUCAAGAAGGUCAAUCGGUUGUGAGACCACCUUUCUUUGAUAGAAAUGACUUUCUAUAUAGAAAAAAUAGAAUUUAUUAUUUUCUCAAAUUGAAAGGAGUUGAUUUGUGGGAUAUUGUAGAGAAUGGUCCUUUCUUUCCCACAAGAGUGAUAGUUGGAAACCAAGAGCAAAAAUCUAAGAGUGAAUGGAGUGAACUAGAGAAGAGAAGGGUAGCCCUAAAUGACAAAGCAAUUCACAUCUUGUUUUGUGCUCUUAGUAGAAGUGAGUACAACAAAGUAUGCAUGAAGUCUACUGCAAAGAAAAUUUGGGAUGCUUUGGUUGUCACUCAUGAAGGAACCAAUCAAGUCAAAGAAAACAAGAUGGAAUCCCUCAUCUACCAAUAUGAGUUGUUCAAAAUGAAAUCCGAUGGAACUAUUAGCCAAAUGUAUGAUAGGUUCAUUGAGAUUAUUGGAGGGAUGAAAUCUCUUGGGAAGACAUUUACAAAUGAAGAAUUGGUGAAGAAAAUCCUUAGAUGUCUACCUAAAGAAUGGCUACCAAAAGUAACCUCUUUAAAGGAUGCCAAAGAUUUGAGCAAAGUGCAAUUGGAUGAACUUUUGGGAAACCUCAUUGAUUAUGAGAUGACUCUAAAGAGAGAGCAAGUGGAGGAACCUAGCAAAGUGAAAAACAAUAUUGCUCUAAGGGUAGCCUCCGAAGAUACUAGUGAGGAAGAAGAAGAAAUAAGUGAGGAAGAAUUAGCCUUGGUGACUAGGAGAAUAAGGAAGUUGCUUCUUCAAAAUAAAAAGUUCAUCCCAAGGAUGUAACGACCUGGAAAUCGGACCGCCACCGGCGCUAGGAUCCAGAUCGGCUUAAGGCCGUCGGGACCCGUAGCAAGCCUAACAUACAACCUGUACACCUGUUUAAUCCCACACAUGAUCAACAUAUACACGAAAAUUUGAACUUUUCUCAUUCAUUUACUAAACUUAACCUGUGCAUGCACAACUCAUAAGCAUAAACAUCAAACCCCACACUGGAGUCCUCAUCAAAUACUCCAAUGGGGUAACAUAUCAUAUGAUAAGUUUGGUUUACAUAAACAGUGAUAAAACAUUUUAUAGACCAUGUACAAAGGGAUUAACCAACAUACUAGGGUCAAGCACAACUCUAAACCUCAAUAAACAUCAUUACAUUACAUUACUGUGCUAUACUUUACUUUACAUCAUUUUCAUGUCCACAUCUAGCUAUUACAUAAAACAAGACUUCUUAUUCUUGCUGACCUCCUGAUUCUAUCCCGUACCUGCAACCUGGCGGAUUAAGAGAAUGGGGUGAGCUACUAGAGCCCAGUGAGCAGAAUAAUAAAAUAUUUUAUUUAAAGUUCAUGCUUUCAUGAAAUGCAUCACAUCACAAACAAAUCACAUUAAGGAUGAACUUGUCACCAAUAGCCCUUAACAUAUCCAAUAGUGCCAAGGACGUAGAAUGGGUCUUCCUGGACUUCCUCUUACAUAACAUAUCAUAACAUUCCAAUAUGCCAGGGACAUAGAAUGGGUCUUCCUGGACUUUCUCUUACAUAGUGCCAGGGACGUAGAAUGGGUCUUCCUGGACUUUCUCUUACAUAGUGCCAGGGACGUAGAAUGGGUCUUCCUGGACUUUCGUACCAUAUCAUCAUCAUGCCAUAUCAUACCAUACAAGGGCUAAUGGAUCAUCCAAUAUUCAUCCACAUCAACAACAUAAUAUGCAAUGCAACAUAUUCGUGGAUUCUAAUGCAAACAACCUAAUAUAUCUCAUGGCAUUCAUGAUGCGUGAAUCAUACUAAAACUUUCAUUAUUUGCUUUGAAACGUAAAGAGUCAUUCUACUCACCUCAGGCUAGCUCUGACAAGACACUGAAGUAGCUGUCUCACUGCUGGGGUCCUCGGUUCCUCGGGUCCGAACCUACACAGGUGGACUUAAAUGAGGGACCAAACAUACAUGAACAUGACUCUAAAAUACUCCCCAAAAACCCCCUAAAACACCUUAAAACAAUCAUAGAAAUCAUGCAAAGGAAGGCUGAACAGGGCACUUUUGGCGGCAGGUUUGGCGGCCGAAAGUCCCUCCAGAGCCGAAAGUCAUGCACCUUCGGCGGCCGAAGGUUCCUUCCAGAGACGAAACUCAUGCAUGUUCGGCGGCACUUUCGGCGACCGAAACUCCCUUCCAGAGUCGAAAGUCCACUUUUGGGGACAGGGUUCGGCAGCCAAAGGCUUGCCUCCACAGGCAAGUUCGGCGGCUGAAAGUCCCUUCGGCUGCCGAACCUGAGUUCUUCCAAAGGGCAGAACUCAGCCUCCACAAUGCACAUUUGCCUCCCAAACCAUUCAACUUAAAACCAACACUACCACAAUAUGCAUACACACAUACAUAAGCUCAUAGGGGCCUCAAACUAUCCUAAACCCCAACCAACACAUCAAACAUACAUAUACAACACACAUUGUCCAUAUACUCAACAUUAACCAAAAACUCAAUAUUAACCUAAACAUGCAUUUCUACCCCAUAAACUUUCAUAAAACUUGUUUAAAAUAUGAAAUGAGCUAAGGAUCUACUCUUACCUCUUGGAGAUCGAGAGGAGAGGCGAUCCAACUCGUAGAUGGGAAAGAUCGAGCUCCUGGGGUCUCCAAGUUACUAACUUCACUCUUUUUGCUCAAAUAUCUUCAAACCAAGAUAAAACUUGUUAAAACUCGAAAGAUUGGAGGAAAAUCAUCAAAAUCAACCAUGGGAGAGCAUGGACUCACCGUUGGCCGAAAAUAGGGGAGAAAGCUCGCCCGUUUUGGCCAUGAAGCCCUUAUAUAGGGGCUGGCCAGACCACCUUCGAAAGCCUAAAGUGCCUCCAAAACUCAUGCAAGUUCGGCGGCCGAACAUGAGGUUCGGCGGCCGAACCUGAGCCACUUUCGGAAGCCUAACUUGCCCCCCUAAACUAUCCCAUGUUCGGCGGCCGAACCUGGAAAUGUCUCCAUGGUCUUUUUCAUUCAAAACUCAGUUUCUUUCUUACUAAAAAUCAUAAAAUACAUUAAAACAUUUUAUAAAAACAUGAUUUUACCCUUCUAAAGGUUUCCGACAUCCGAGAUUCCACCGGACGGUAGGAAUUCCGAUACCGGAGUCUAGCCGGGUAUUACAGAAGAAAUUUAGAAAGGAAAAAAGGUGAAUCAAGUAAAAAGAAAGUAUUCAUUUGUUAUGAGUGCAAUAAGUCGGGUCACUACAAAGUGGAUUGUCCCAAGUUGAAGAAGCCUAACAAAAAGUUCAAGAAGAAGGCCUUCAAAGCAACAUGGGAUGAGUCAAGUGAUACCGAAGAGGAGGAAGUUGGUGAUGAAAUUGCCAACAUGUGCUUCAUGGCUCUAGAGAAAAGUUUCGAUGAGGUAACUACUCUUGAUGACACUACCUUAUAUGAUGAUGUUGUUGAAUUUUCUUAUGAUGAACUUGUUUGUGCUUUAAAAUUGAUGAAUGAUGAACUUGAAAAGAGUCAUAAGAAAAACAAAAUUUUGAAAUGUGAGUUAGCUAGCUUAAAAAGGGAAAGUGAGAACUCACCCAAGGAAUCUUUAUCUUCAAAUGAUCCUUUACGAAAAUCCUUAGAUGAGCCCUCAUUAGAAAAUAAAAAUCUAAAUGAAAUCCUUGAGUUGAAAAUUUCUCUUUCAAAAUUUUUAAAAGGCAAGGACAAA